rnacentral:lncRNA from 1 species
GUAAGUAUCCCCCCUCCCUAACUCAGCUCCUCCCGGCAGCAUAAGUCAUAGACGGGGAGGAGAGAGGGCGUGGAGUCGGUUUAACACAGCCGAGACCUGUUUUCACCAAUCACAUAAGCUCCUCUCCUUGCCUUUAAAUCCGCCACCGGCGAGGCGUAUUACUAUUUUCAUGAAGUAGUCAAAGAGAUCAAGAGAUGUCUGAAGACAGUUAUGCCACACGAUGGCGACAGAGGGCAGCUGCUCAACAAGUGUCCUCCACACUCUCUCAUCUGAGCACAGAUAGAUUUGGUGUGCGUAAUGUUGGACCCACUGGUAAGACAAACAUCCUUUUCCACAAAAAAGACACUCACAUAAAGUUGCAUAUAUUCAAACCUCACGUGACAAAGGUGGGUUGAGCGCACAGAUCACAACAUAAACUCCAAAAAUGGCAUUAAAAUCGGAACCAUCUGUGCGUAAAUGACGCAUCGCGCUCCGUGGCCUGGCUCUUUCUUUCAUAGAUGUUGGCAUAUAAAAUAAAUUUGGCCCACAAAACUGAAUAUUAUAAUAUCCGUAUGUCGGCUUAAAGUAGAUAACGCAUCUGAGCACUGAAACAAAUCAGCUGUUCAGCCGCAGCAGCAAGCAAGACGGACAGAGGACACGGAGACGUGUCCAGGUCGAGCUGUGCGAGAAAUAAGAGGAAGAAAGAAAAGGAGGGAGACACAUUACAUAUCUUGUUAACUUCAUCAUGUGUGUUUAUUUACUAGAUAUUUAAUUUAAUUUGAUGCAGUUUCAGCUGUAUUGAUUCGGUCAGGUUGUGUGCCCAAACGCGUGCCAAACGCGCUCAUCAGAUCAGAUAUAGAUCAGAAUAUAUCGAUAUAGAUCUAAGUGUAUGUGCUGACUCAGAUUAAUAGUUGAUGAUGAUUAUUUAUUGCACUGAAAUGCUUUCAGCGCACGUUACACGCCGGUGGCGAGCACGAAAAUGUCACUGCGCCGGCUGAUUCUGUCAACACCUCCCCCUGCCACGCCACCACGCCCAGCUUGGCGGAUCUCGGCUCGCCUCCGUGCGACUCAGUCCACGAAAAUACCAAACUCGCCUUACGCCGGGUUCCACCAGACGAAAAUACAACUGCGCGGGGCUCGCCGCCCUCCGCCGCCUCACCGGCGCGAACGAAAAUAGAGCCCACAGUCUGAAACAAAGCACCUGGGAGAAGGUGUUUACCUUUAGCUAACCAUCCAGCUUUCUGCAUGACCUGAAACCCCAUGAGGCUGUUGCGGGUUUCAUAUACCUCUGCACAGCACAGUCGAAAAUGAAGCCUCCAAAGCCUCAUUAGCAAUCCCUGCUGUUUUUUACAGACAUGCAAACAUUUCAGUGAAGUGGCCAUUCAUGAACUUUUGCAGAGUUGAAACACAACCUUGCAUCUGCAAAGCCCAGGUUUUUAUCAGACCUGUUUUGUCUUGAUCCGCCAGAUCUCAAAGGGACUGAACUGAAGGACUUCAUCAAUUAACAUUCAUAGCUGUUUGUUUGUGUGUUUCAUUGUUCUUCAAUGUGGACCAAAUGUUGUGUUAUAAUGGUGUUUUCAUUAAUAGCUGGGGUGUAACAUUAUGAACACCUGGCUAGUGAACGGCACAGUGGAUGUAGGAAUCCAAUUAGCCAGUUGGUACUAUAUGUUAGUACGUUAUAGUAUGUUAGUACUACUUAUUUCUGACCUGGGCCUUAUUAAAUCUCGACCGAAAACGUAUUUAUUUAUGCUGGCUUUUGAUUCCCAGUAUUGUGGUGACCCUUUCCUUUAUUUUGUUGCUUUUUAUUGUUUUCAUUUAUUCAUUUUAAUCUACUAUGGAUUGUAAGGCACUUUAGUUCACCGAAACGGUUGUUGUAAAAGGCUGUAUAAAGAACAUGGAAGACAGACAUGCAGCAUCAUAAAAGUGGUGUUGACAGUUUUAGAGGGACGAGUGAGAUUAGUUUUAAAAAUUCAUAUAGUCUAUUGAUCAUUUUUAGAAACAAAAAAUAAAAAAUAAAUUCAUAUGAUUGAGGUUACAUGCACACAGAAACUGGGUAAUCAUAUGCCUUUAGACGUGAUAUGUAAUUAUAUUAUUCCCUGAUUACUGCAAAUGGUUUGCACAGCUGCCAAUAAUGUUAUUUUUUAUUUUUAUUUUUUUAUAACACAAGCCCUAAUGUUCCCUCUGUAAUUCAAUCAAUCAAUCAAUCAAUCAAUCAAUCAAUCACUCUUUGUUUGUUCAGCAUCAAAUCCCAACAAACGUUACCUCAAGACGCUUAACUAAAAAGCUGGUCCAGACCACACUCUAUUUAAAAAGACCCAGUGUAAAGAUGGGAUCAGAUUGAGCCCCAUCUUGUAAGACGCAACCCACUCCCAUUCCAUCUUCAACCUCAUGAGUGAAUCACUUUACAGCAUUUAUCAAGUUAAAGUGGAGAACGUCCUUUAACAGGCAGAAACCGCGAACAGAACCAGACUGAUGUGAGACAGUCAUCUGCUGAGACUGAGCUGGGUUUAGAGAGGGGAGAGAGGGAGAUGGAGAAAGAGAGAGAUGGAUAGAGGAGAGACUGAUAGAGGGAGAUGGAGAGGGAGUGAAAGAGAGAUGGACAUAGGAGAGACUGAUGCGCAUAGUAAAGCAGCUAAAACUCAGUAUCUCUGUUGUUGAUUCAUGACUAGGUUGAGCCCAUUCCUAUGCAGGUAGUCAGCAGCAAAAUCCUUGACACACAUGCAAAUACACUCAGUGUUUGUUAAUCUCAAAACAUUUUACAGAUAAAAGAGUAAAUUAAAUUGAGACACACCAAUUAAAUUCAAUUAACUGUGCAUACUAACUUAAUGUUUUCGAGGCAAGGUCUGCAGAUGUGUACCUGAACCUUACAAGCAAUACCAAUGAGUAGACAAUAAUAUAUCUACAGUGAAUGCACAAAAGCACAAUGUAAUACAAAACAAAAACUUUGGGAGUUAAAUAAUUAAAGCAUCCAAGCGGUAUUAAAUGCAGUACUGUUGAAUCUGCAGAGGCAGAUGGCGAGUGGGAAAGGGGUCAUGGAAGCAUCGCCCCAUGAGGUAGCUAUAGAGAGUAAGACUGCAUGGAAAAUAAAUCAUGACCAUUAAGGAGCAUGAACCAAACCCCCAAGGUGAAAGUGGAGAAGUAUUCAAACACACAUUUUGCAGAUUGUGCAAACAAAGACUAUUUUUAAUGAAUAAGAGGGACAAAUCCAAUGAGCAGUGAUGCGGUACAGUAACCAGCAGGAGUCUGGUUAGAGUUGACAAAUACCUCACAGACUGUACAAUUCAAAGUAGUAGGACAAGGAUUCGGUCUGUAGCUAACAGUUUACCAUGAGUAGUCAUAGAAACCAAAAUGUCAUGUGUUGUGACAGUCUUAGAACAACCAUUUCUUAUGUCUCGAGUCCAUAGGCAGAAGUUGUCCAAUACUACCCAGAUACAGCCAUGUAGCAAAGCUCCUAUUGUGACUGAAAUACCCCUGGAAAUGUAAUUCUUGAAACUGAUGAUAAAAAUUGGGAAUAAAACUAUAUCUUAUUUAUGAAUUUCGUGUGCAACUUGGCUCCUUAUUUACAUGAUCAUCUGGGCCAGAUUUGAAGGUUAGGACAGUAAAGCAGGUCAGAGAGUUUUAAUAAAGAAAACUUGAAAAAUUACAAAUAAAUGAUGUAAAAUACAAAUAGAAACAUUUCACAAUUAGAGCUUUUUUUCUGCAGAGCUCGAGUAGCUCAUUAGCAAUUCGCCUCUGAGUCGUGGGCAGAGACAGCGCUGCUCUGCAUACUGGUCUUCAUGCUAGGUUGUAGCCUAACAUUGCUUGUGUAGUAAAAGUUGCAGGUAACAUAGGAGCUAUUAAGCUCUCAGAGACACUAAUGUAUUUGGGGGCAUAAUAAAAGUUAAUAUCAUAAUUAGCUUUCUUAUGAGCACUGCAAUCCGCUACAGACACGCUUGUUCCGCGAUAAUCGUCUCUAUUUCUCCUGAGCCUGGCCUGCAUAGCGGGGCUCCAGGGGCGAAGCUUGGAUUGGUUACGUAUGAAAUCUCACUGUUUCUGAACCUGCCGUCUGGGUCUGCCAGAGAUACACAGCGAUUUGAAUGAAGAAAUACUCAGAAAAGCAAUUUUGCAUUUAGUUUUCUCAUGAUAUGUCCUGUAGCAUUAGAAAAAUGCCAUAUGAACAUACAAAGAACAAGAAGAGGGUCUUUAAACAUAUUUAUUUACAGGGGCGGCAGUGGCUCAGAGGUGAAGUCAGUUGUCUUCCAAUUGGAAGGUCAAGGGUUCAAUCCCAGAUCCCACUGUCAACAUGCCAAUGUGUCCUUGGGCAAGACACUUGCAAUCAUCUACCCUGUUGGCUGCAUCCAGUAGUGUCAGUCAAAAAAGCAAAGGGCCCUAUUAGGGGUGUAAGGGUACACAUAGUUUUAACUGUUUCAGUACAGGACUUAUGGUACACUGUGCAUGCAUACUGAGCUAAAAUCCUAGUUCCCACAUGGCCAUAAGACAGAAACAGACUACACAUAUGGACAUUCGUUUCCUGUGUUUCAAGAGGCUCAUGCAAUCAGCAAUCCAUCCAGCAGUUGAAUGUAUUAACAGUGUAUAGAUUCAUUCUGUAUACCUCUAUAAUUCAAACAUGUCUUUGUAAGUAUAUUGUUGGUGCCCUUUGCAUCUUUGAUCAUUACUUCCUUUGUUGUAAGCUGUAGGAUCAAUGAAGUUCCUUAUUUUAUUUCUCACUCCACAGAAAUCAAGUCAUUUUAAGUUUCUUGUACUUUUGUAUAGAUUUUCAAUCAUCUCUCCACCACCGUUGCAAACCCACUCUCUUACAAACAAGAGUGAAAAUAACUCUAAAGUUGUGAGUCAUUCAGUGUUUUGUAAUUGUACUUUUACAGGGCUGGAGUGCCACAAAGAUCUUAUUGGAAAGCAGUUGCUAUUACUCGGACCUUUUGUCCAAAGAAUAACACAUUUAGCAGCUCCAGGUCAAGACCUUCAGUACAGAACCUUGCACCCGUACCCAGAACACAACAGGAAGUCUGGAUGCUUGCAGCUUUAACAAGCCAUAUCAGAUAUUAUGUUUUUGCUGUUGUGUGUUUGAAAAGUCUUCAGACUGGGAGGCUCUUUUAGUGCUUUCUUUUAAGUGCUGAAACUUCUCUGAGACCUCUAGACUUAGAAUCCUAGCCAAGUCUAACUUGAACAUUUCCAAGUCACCAUCAAAAGGAGAAAAAAGAAUAAACAUUUAGUGAUUGAUAUUAUCUUUAAUUACACCUGAAAAUGUGUUUAUUACUUCAUAAACAGUCACAGUUGACAUUAGCCUUUAAUUAAGUUGCACCCAUUGUUUUCUUUGAUUUAAGUUUGUGUAUACAAGAGCUUAUCAUCGGCAUAAGAGUUGACUUAAGGUAGAGGAAAUACAAAUGUUGAUACUCCUCUGGAUUUUGAAGAUCUAAAUGACUGGGGGACAUAACUGCGAUGAAUUUUAGUUUCAACUGAAUGUCAUUGUCUUAUCCUGUUACAGUAAGGUUCUGUAAGAGAUAUGGGAUGUGUCAGACCAGCAUUUACAAUAUUCAACAUAUUUUACCUCAGGCAAAAGCACAUUAAAGAUAAACAGGCUUUCGUUGUUUUGAUGAUACUGAACAUGAAUUAGAGCAUCUGAACAUUGUCGGAGUAGACUUUGGGACUUGCCCUGCUGCUUCAAAUGUGGCGGUGGGAAAUGGUGACACUGAAAAAAUAAAAUAAAAACAACAGGAUUAGAAACUGAUGGGUAUAUGAAAUAAAUGUGUAUAAAGAAAUCAAUAGCAGACUAAACAUUAACUCAGUGUAGGAGUUUUAACACGUUAAUUGAAUAAUGUUUGACUUGAAAAUGAUAAUACUGAUAAAAGUUUUUUCUUUUUUCAUUUGACUUAACUCAUGUAUCACAUGUUAUAUUGGCAGGAAGACCCUGCAUCCAAAGUUAAAGGGAUAUUUUGGCGUAAAAUUAAGUUAGGGUCAAACACACUAUAAUAGUAAGACACCCCGUUGAGAGAUGAAUGUUGCAGACCGCUUGCUUAUCUAGUUAUACCAACUUUAGUAAUGGCCGCAGAUAGCAAUACAGAGAGCCACGCGCUCAACCAAAAAGCCACUCUAUAGCCACAAAUAAUGCUCAGAACAGCACCUAACUUCAUCAACAGUACAUAUAGUGUCCCAGCCAAAGUACUAGCCAUCAAACAUAUUUUAAGUUUUGCCUGAUUUCUUUAGCAAAGAGACAAAACACAACUCACCCACUCUCUCCCAGCAGCUGCUUGUUUGUACGGAGAUGUCUGGACAAGUCCAUCAACUGCAGCGGGAGGACGCAGCUCAAGGAAGAACAUUUAUGUCUGUGUGUAAAAACCCUUUGUUAGCUUUGCAGAAUACUGCACAAUAGGACAUAACCAAGCUUAUGAUUCCUAAUUUCAUUAAGUGUUGGUAUUGACACUGGCAAACCUGAUUAGAGAAUUGGUAAACUAGCCAAAUAAACAUCUGUAUGUUCUGUUCCAACUCCACUAGUUCUAAUAUCAGCUUUUAACAUGCCAGGGGCUUUAUUGUAUAAGGAUCCAGAGCAGCAGCUGAGAGGUACUCAGAGCUGUCAAUCACAUCAAUCAUUAGAGUGUCUCUGUGAGGACAAUGAAACCACCUCUAUAACAGGGUGGAGAGGUGACUGCUAGAUGUGUUCGUCAUAAAAUCGGAAGUGAUAUUCCAAAGUUGAAGAUUGAAAUGAGACAGAAACUGCUGUGAUGUUAAUUACCACUUGCUGGGAAAGCUUAGUCAUUAUUAUUAACAGAUGUCAAGAACUGCUUAUAGAGUGAAGCUUUUAGCAGACUGAUGGGAAAAAAAAGGCUCAAAAAAUUCUACUGAACAUGGACCUAUAUUAUACCUAUGGUGAAUGCACAGUCCUGCAGUUUGCACUAUUAAUUCACAGUAAACACCUGACAAAACAGUUGAAAAUAUUUUUUUUGUAGAAAGUAUUGCUAUUAUCAAACAAAUUAUAGCAUUCUACAUGAUUCAUUUCACAUGUUUUCUGCUGUAACAGGAACAGCUAUUUACUGUAGUCAAAAGAAUUUCAACGAAUAAUUGUCAUUUUGUUCACGUUAUUUUCUUGUUCUCUGCAUGGUUACAUGGUUCCACUGUUUAUAAUGGAAAAUAACUGUUUAAACUACACUUUACAGUAUAUUUUUGUGAUUAGUUUACAUUUAAUUUGUUUGAACAUAGUAUGCACAGUAUGCACUAAAUUACUGAGUGUACAAAGAGACUUAACAUGCUUUAAAUCUGCAAUUCAUUGGUAAAAUAAAUUUACCAAUAAAUAAAACCCAAGUAAGAGCUGCAGAAACCCAUGACUUGUAUUCAAGUCAAUUGUCUAAAUGUUUAAUAAACAGUGUCCAUCUAUUUUGAUAGAUCCAAUAGAUUUCAAUGGGAUUAAAGUGACUCUUUAAUAUUAACUUCCUGUGUUUGUCAUUUGGUUUAAAUGGCUGGUUAAUUUGUGCAAAUAUCUGUAAACAGUUGGUACUCAUUACAAUCACUUUUUCCCCUUUUCUUCCUCAGAGCAACACAAGAGAAUAAUCAACAUAUUUUUCAUACACGUUGAAUUUAAAAUUGCACUUGCAUGCUAGUUAAAAGACAAAUAUUAGUGUUUGUUAUCGCCUUAAAAGAGGAGUGGAAAAUUACAGUCUAACUUUAGGAUACAAAUGAAAAGUGAGCCAUUUCGGAGCUCUGUUGAAACAACAAGAAUGACAGUGUAGACCUCACCUGUUUGAAAUAUGACCCUUCGGUGUUAUGUAUUCAAACGUUACAUCGGUGUUAGAAUAGGCAUGCACUUUACUUACAGUUUUCAUCCUUCAUUAAACCUGACUGACAUAUCUACAGGGGUGUCAAAUGACUGAUGAGCAUUCACCCUUUUCCUGCUGACGUACCAGUGAGAGGAAAACUGCACAAGCACUUGUUUCCUGGGUAUUAAAUACUGAAUCUUACUAAAGGUGCAAUAUGCUCAUUUAACCCUUAGGCCCUUCUGUGUACAUUUCUUGUUCUUUCAGAUGGGUUUUUAUGCCGUUCAUUUUGGAAAGUAGGGCCCCAGGGCCACGGACAAUAACUGCAAACAUGUUUUAGAUUAGGAAAUCUGGAACGAAAAGGACAUGAUAAGAAACAGAUACAGUUGUAAUGUACAUAAUGAUCCAAAGAUGGGAAGAAAAUUGAUGAUGAGGUUAAAUCUAUUGAUCUGGGUCAAUCCAGAUGUUCCAACAAUCGAACAAUGAUUCAGCCAAAUUAUUGGAAAGUAAAAUCAUCAUCUGCAUUGACCUCUUUAUGAUACGCUGCCACUGGAUAAUCAGCCCACCCGUCUCACAGUUUCUUCAAGGUGUGCUCAGGCAUUGAUCCCAUGCUACCCCUUGCAAUGAGCAUUGGUACCAUGACUACCACUGCCUGCUCAACCUCCUUUGACCAACUUUUUUUUUUUUUCAUCAAUAGCUCAACCAAAACUCAAUUUUUCAUCUUUAAAGGCUUGAGGCUUUGCAGUGAUGUUGAAAAAAUUUUUUUUUUCUGAGAGCCACACUAUACCACAGAGCCACAACACUAAAUCGCAGAGAAACAGCACUUAAGUGAAAUGGUUUACAGGGGCAAGUCUAGGGGGGAUAAACCAAAAGUUUACAAGUCCUAAAAGAGUAGCUUUCACUGUAUUUAAAUUCAAGGUGGUAGAAGGAAUCAAUGUAUGAUUUAAAAAAAUAGCACUCAAAGAAAAAAGUGUGGCACUUCACACAAAAAACAAUGGCCUUUGUUCUCGUGGUCAUGGAGAUGUUAAUGUUUUAAUUCAGAUCUCUAAUAAGAUUGUGAAAAAGCUUCCAUUUUAUUUUCCCUCUGGCUGAAUUAUAAAAAAAGUGUGUCAGGCUGGUAUUGUCUGAAAUGGAUCAAGGCUGUUGUAUGAAAAUGAAUCAAGCUUGUAUUGUGGCAGAAUUUGAACAAUAUAGUCUAGUUGUUCAAGGAAUCAAUAUGAUAUAGUACUGUGAUGAUAUUUGUGCUGAUGGUGAAGGAUUGCUGUGCCAGUCCAGUGAGUUUCAAGACAAAUGUUUUGAAGAGUGGUGUAUAAAGUACCUAAAAGCCAUACUUGAGUAAAAGUAGAGAUAUUGCUCCAGGAAAACGACUUGGGCAAAAGUAAAAGGACAGUAGUAUUUAUUUGAAAAACAUUCAGAAUAUUGAUCAUUAUGAGCAGAUAUUUGUAGCUGCAGAACACAAGUGUUAGUUAUUUUGAGGCCUCGGGCAAACGCUACGGUGAGUAAGUGAAUAAAAUGAUAUCUAAAGCAUUUCUUUUUGGUUCACAGAGGUCGCAGAGCUCAGGACAGAGCUGAGCGUUAAUUAUAAAUAAGCACAGACAUACUGUAACAACCACACCAGUAUCUGCUCAUCAUCCAUGUAAGCAUCACAUCAGAACUCAAAGUCUUAUCAGUCAGACAGAAAUCAAGAAAACGUACGCGCACCAUCAACAUAACAGCUGUCCUUCUGCCACGUUUCUUAAGUUUAUUUCUGUUUACCACACUGUGCCCCCCACCAGUCUGCUCAUUAAUGCCAAUAGAUCCAGAAGAGCAGAGGUCCUCUGGUAACAUUUUGGAUAAUAAACCUAACGAAUGCAAUGUGGCGCCUUAUUUACAUUCAAAAUAUAUUAAAAACAAUAUGACAAAUACAGGCCUACCUCGCAUCUGCUGCUACCAUUAAACAAAAAAAUAAUUAUGAGUGUGAGACUAAAUUCAGUGCAUUAUUGCUCAACAUUAUUAAGGGAUUUACUUCCAUCACACUCUUUCAGAUAGUGUUAAUACAGUGUAGUGUGUGCUCUAUUUACCACUCAUCAUCUGCUUAUCCCUUUCUCUUUCUCUCUCUCUAUCUUCCUCUGGAGUCUCUCUCUCCUCUCCCCAUUUUUCACCAGCACCUGCCGUCUUUCUGUCUAUCUGAAUUACACCGCCUGCUGUAUGAUCACACAAUGACAUGCUAAUUAAACAUUAGCAUAGAAGAGCACAGUAAUGAAUAGAGAUGUGGAGCAUCUUAUUGGUUGACAUUUUUUGGAGAAGUUACCUCAACUUCCCAUCCUUACUGCUGUUCUGAAACAAACAUGAAGUGUCUUGUUAAGACGGCAGGCCACACUGUUGGUCCAAAAGCUUGGAGAAACAGCAUAAACCUUCAUUUUCUACCACAGACAUGGGCUGGUUGUCCAGUGAGAUGGAUUCAGCCGGUAUCUGUGAAAUCUUUUGGCCUUUUCGCUCUCUUCAGGAGAUCCGUCCUUCCUUUUUUAAAGGCCAGAGUUUGAUGCUUUGGGGGCAGCAUCUUUUCCCUCUGUUGCUUUAGUAAAUACAACUCAUUCUACUGCAUGUUCAGUUUUUAGAUGUUGAAGCAAAUUGUUAUAAUAACCGAGUAUUUUGGGGUUGCUGAACUGUAACAGCUGACGUUAACGAUCAGCCUGAGAUGAUCAGUUGAUAUUUCUGAUACCCAGUCAGUUAGAAAUGUGCAGAUUGGCUCCAAUCAGAAAUCACCCCCAGUAAACUAUGUUCAGAGAGAGAAUGUGCUUUUCAGACAAAACCGGUUUGUUCAUUUUUGCUCUAAAAAUAGGCCUUUUUGAAUAAGUGUGUACAUGGUUUCUAUGGUGCAGCCAGCCUCAGGGAUCUGCAGAUUCUAGCACUUCCUCAUCGGCUUCACUCACACACACACACACACACACACACACACACACACACACACACACACACACACACACACACACACACACACACACACACACACAUAAAGCAUAAAAACCCUCUGUUAUAAAUAAAAGCAACACCCCCCCACCCCCACCCCUUCUGUAUGCUAUACUGUAUGCCCCUCAUAUCGUUUCCCUUUUGUUUUUCAAUCUCACUACUAUAGUUUUUAUAUUCCUGUAACAAGAAAGAGAGAGAGAAAAAAAACUGCAAUAUAAAAAUACAAACAGAUAAGAAGAGAAAGGGUCUACUUAAGUUGGGAUAUCAGGAAAGAUUUGAAGUCUUAGCUGGUGGAAAUCCUGCUGUAAAAUUAUGUUAAUCUCUCUCUGAGACAGGAGAGGGGGGUUGAUCCAAAAAAAGCUUCUUUUUUUUCUUUUUUCUUUUUUUUAAAGAGAUCAACUGCAGCCAGAUUCAAAUGCAGUGCGAGUAUUUGCUAAAAGUGAAAUAACGGCAUCCCUCAAGUCCCAUGCAAACCAAAGGAUGAACCAAGGGUUGAGCAGCUCCUGGUUUCAGAUUUUGAAGAUUUAAUCUUGAGCAAAGUCACAGAGUUGUCUCAGGCUUUGAGGCUGUUUUCGGGGACUGCAGAAAUAUUUACUGUACCUGUCCUCUCUCAGCUGUAAUUAGUUUAGUCAGUUUGGAGAGAUUCAAAGGAGCACUUUGGGAUGAAGUGGAUUCUAGCUCAUGAGGUUAUAGUGACAACCACUCCCUUUACCCUCCUCCAGCAAACAUGUGUGAGAACCCACGCGAGUCCGUCUUAGGUUUUUCCAUUUAGCUGUCAGUGUAAGUUAGGUGACUCUAUAUAAAGAGCAGACUCAGAAACAUGCAGCAUGCACUCAGUCAGGGCGCUUCUGGUGACCACUUUAAAGAGCUAUAAAACCAAGAACCAUAUCUCUCUUUCCUUUAGUCAGUCUCCUUUGUUUGUUGUUUGUUUUACAGUAAAUUACCGUGACACUCUGCUCAUUUUAAGGGUUGGCGGAACAACACAGUAGACUCCUUAAAAAGGAGCUGCUAUCUCUGGGGAUUUUGAGGGUUAUUUAAAGGUGGUGGUAAUAAAUGUUUUGUUUUUUUUUGUUUUGUUUUUUUUUCAAAAAUCCAUAGAUCCCUACAACACCUCCAGUUCAGAUGUUUAAAUGCCACAUAGUCAUUUGUACCAUAUUUUUCUUGUUUUUGAUCUAAUUUUUUGCUCAUGCUGAAGCACUUAAUUAUUGAGGAGAGGCCACACACAGCAGUCAGCUGAGUUUCCCCACAACAACAGGUGUUUUGAAUAACAAUUCAAGUAUCUCUCUUCUUUUACACAAUGUUCUCCAAUGUUCUUCCUGAAGCAUGCCCGUGUUUUCCCUCCUCAUGGUUCAAUUCGUUCCACCUAUAACCAUUCUGGAUGUUAUUGUUAAUAUUAACAUCACAGCACACAUUGCUUUCUUGCCUUUCAUGAUAAGCCUGAUCAUUGUUAUUGCACCCACUUGCAACCUCAAUUAAAUUUAGAGGCUGCUUUGUCCUGGCUUUAAAGAGCCUCUGACUUCCUCCAGGGGCUUAAUCCCAUAAACCGCUAUGACCCACAGACAUCAUAACUUUAAGCUGCCAGUCAAGGCAGCAAUGUCAAACUACCCUCAAGUGGAAGCAAAGUGGAUACAGGUCUCUCUAAAUCUGUGUGUGCGUGUUUAAGUCAGUAGGACAUCACUCAGUGUAGAAGUAUUAAUACAUGACAUGAAAAAGUAUGGAGGUUGUGUCCAAUGAAGUUCUCUCUGUACCAAACCUGCUCUGGUUUAUCCUGAUUUGGAAAUGUGACAAAUGAACAACAUUUUACAGAGACAUAACAUUUUCUGGAAUUUCUAGCUGAUAUCCCCCAUUUUUCUUGAUUCUUCUCUUACCGCUCAGUCACAGGGCUGUGAAACCAAAUGCUGUGCUGCAAGAGUUUUCUGCUGAAGUUGGAAAAAAGGCACACACAAAAAAUAAAUAAAUAAAUAAAUGAAUAAACUUAAACAAAAUGUGGUGUUAAUGCAACAUGAAAUGCAACAAAAGCAGGCAGGAGAACUACGACAGAGUAUUAGGGCCACAUUGAAAAAAAAUACGACUUAGAGAUGAAAGUUGUUAAUUUAUGAGAAUAAAGACAUUACUAAUGAGAAUAAAGUCGUAAUAAAGUAAUUACUUACUCAAACCUGUUGUUUAAGAUGACAGUUGUUGAAAUGAGAGCCAUAGAGCAUUUUGUGAAAAUGUACUUCAAUAUAGGUUUCUCAAACAAGGAGAUACUUUAGGCACAUCGGCACCACAUUAUUAUAAGUAGCCUAUCGUAAUGAUUUUAUUACAACUUUAUUUUCAUAAGUAUUUACUUUAUAACGACUUUAUUGCCAUAAGUUAUGAUUUAAGUACGACUUAAUUCUCAUAAGUAAUUACUAUAUUACAACUUUAUUCUCUUAAGUUAUGAUUUUAUUAGGACUGUAUUCCCGUUGGUAAUGACUUUUUUCUCAUUAGUAAUGACUUUAUUCUCAUAAGUUAGUGACUUUACUCUCAAAGUGUUAAUUUUUUUUUCUUAAUGUGGCCCUAAUACUCUGUCAUAGGGGAGCAUCAAGUACAUGGAACAAUUCAUGAUUGUAAAUGUUUUUUUUAAAAAAUGAAACUGCUGCAUGAAACGUGAGACCCACGAAUAUAUUUCAAGAACUUUAAGCCUUGAAAAGAUGUACAACAAAAGGUUUGUAGCUUUGGUAUUCAGGAUGAUAAUGUUAUUCUAGGCAGGGAGGUUUUUUCCUCUACACACUCUAUCUUCCAUACAAGGACGCCUUAGUGUGUUAUGGUUUUAUAGCAUGGCAGCGUUCCACUGAAUACAGUAGGUUAUGUUGUAAUCGUGAUCAGCAAGAGUGGCCUCUACACCUGUUGGCCAAUCAGAAAUGAGUAGUUUCUGUGGUCACGGCCUCUGCGUCCAUUUAAUCAGACAUCUCAAAUGAACUGAAGUAAUAAGAUGGCCAGACUCACUUUUUACCUUCCUGAUAAUUUCUAUUAACAUAAUGUGCUUUAUCCUCUUAUCUUAAACCUUAAAUCAGCUUUCAGCCCAAAAGUAUUACUGAGCAUCAAACUCCAGUGUGUUCUCGCCCCACUACUUUAGAAAAAGUCAACUUUGUCCAAAUUUCUAACUUGAAUUUCUGAUAUUACUCUAACAGGCCUUGCCAUGAGUUGCGCCCUUUAUAUAUCAGAUCAGGUAUUUUCAUGUGUGUCCUGUGGUCUGUGGGACGUAUGGGUAGGAUAACAGUGUCAUCAAUAUACCAACCCAGACCUGAGGGCCUGCAAGCCAGGGAUUAGCCCCGGGAACAAAAGACAAAAACACCAACGUGUUUCUGUGAUGUUCCCAACAAGGGAUUAGAAGGUUCCCGCUGACCGGAUUAAAACAAUACCUACUGUUUUCUCUGUCCCUCUACACCAGCCCAUUUUAUCCUUUUUUCAGCUGUGAUAUUAAGAGAUGUUUUUGCUUUCUCUUCCUCUGUUUGGAUUUUUUUUUUCUGAUCUCUUUAUCCUCCUCCCGCUUUCUAAUGGUUAAACUGUGUUUGGGUUUCUCUCCUCCUUUGGAAGGAUUAUUACAAUCCUACUUAAUCCUGAAAUUCCACCUCAAUGCCACAUCUCCUAGUGAUGCUUUUAUUUAUGAAGAAAUACAUUUUGAUGAGGAAGUAAGAUAAGACUUUUUAGUAGGAUAGUUUUGAAAUGUACCUUCCAGCAGACAAAGAUUGAGUGAGACCUGAGGCAAUUAUGGUCAAUGAAAACCAACAGUAUCAUAAAAAGUAAAAGGUCAAAAAUAUUAAUGUUAGCUGAGAAAAAAAAAUGAGGCUUCACAAAAACACUAUAACUGAAACCGUAUUACAUGUUCAAAAUCACAGAAGGAUGUCCUUCAUUUUCACUUUGGCACACAAAGCAGAGCCAUGAAUAAAUUUUUGUUCAGACCUUUUUAACCACAAAUAUUGAAAUCUUUUUUACGUAUGAUUCUUUAUUUUGUCGGGUACAUUCAGAAACCUGGUUUAAGAUUUAACUCUGAAACAUUUACAAUACAGAGAUGACUUUUUCUCCACCUGCUGACUUUUAAUAUUUGACUGGACAUGUGCAAAGCAGCAGCUGCUCUCCAGAGAUUAUCAUGUUCAUAUUUUGCCAUUGAUGGUGAAGAAAAAUACAUUUUUAGGACACUGCUAUUCGGUUUGUACUACUGUGAGCAGGCCUGGUUAAACAGUAUGACUGCAGCAGGAAGGAAAGAUUCGCAGCACCUCUGUCACACACAGUGGCUGGAAAGCAGGCAAGUCCACAAAAGGUCUGCAGCAGUGAUCCAGAGGAACCUACAGGAUGAUGGAGUUCAGGGACUCCCAGAAAAGACUGUGGCUGUUUUCGAAUUGGCCUACUGCAUACUCCUGCCUACCGCAGUAUGCAGUAUGCAGUAUGACUGCAAGUCGGCUGUUAUUAUGUAGUAUGUGUGGCCUGGUUUCGCUGGUUUCCGGUAUGGAAAAGUCCAUCGUACCCUGGUAAAUUGCAACGACACUACAGUGUUGCCCAUUCAUUUACACACUAAGAAAAAAAAAAUCUUAGCCCAAUACCAGACCACAAAACGUGUUCUGUCUAUGCAAUGACUCGUUGGUCUGGUGGCAUUUGAUUCUCAUCAUUGUAAAUACAGCAAAGUUAUGUUACGUCAGUUAUGUUGUCCUCGUUUCGCUUAAAUGAAAGAAGUUGCAAUCCUCGCUUAACGCGUUUUUUGAUUGUGUCUGCGUAGUGUGGUCUUAUUUCCCUUUGUCCCAAUAGUUUGAUAACUACAGUUAAAACCCUCUAAUACAAACUUCUGUUUUCUGUCUACUAAUGAGAGCUUUCACUGUUACUCUUUACUGUUGAUGCACUGUGCUGCCAUCUUGGAUUAUGAUGUUGUUGCCAAGUCAGGGUUGGUGAGGUCAGAAUUCGACUUCAGGGGUGCGUUCCAGGUGAAUUUCCGACUUCCGAGUACAACUGGAACGCAGCAUAGAAGCAAACACUAACAUUAAUAUUAGACAUGAUAACCUUGGGGAGACCCCUGCUAAAAUGAAAAGAAGUCAAUGAUUUUCAAUAUUAGACCAAUGAUAAAUCAAUUAAACAUUAUUUUUCAAUGUCUUUACUGACAAUAAGGAAGAAUAAGUCGAGGAUCCUGUUAGGGAAGAAACAUAAUCAGCUGAAUUUUCCAGACACAGUGGAACUAAUUGAGUCAAUCAAAAACAAUUACCUUUCAAACCGGGCACACCAAAGAAUCGGACAAAGAAAAUUGGGUCAUUACUUUUAGGGGCGAACUGACACUAAAACUAAUCAAGGAAAGAAAAAGAUUUGUCAGAAGUAGGCUGUUGGUCUGCAGUGACGACAGGCUGGCUGGAUAAUAUGGAUGAUGGACUUCCUUCUCCAUUUGUGACAUGGAUUAUAGGAUUUAAACAAUACGCUGUGAGGAUACCUUAAUAGAAAAAAAUGAAGUGUGGCCAAGACUGAGGCUUAUUACUAUUUUCUCACAGUAGGGUCCAAAUGUAAUUAAAAUAUUGAGUGAUAGAGUUACAAUCAGUGUGACAGCCAGAGAUGAUAGCGGAUGUUGACACAGCUGAUAUGUGAUGAUGAGACGACUGGGCUGUGACCACACUGAUUGGUCUGAUGUAAUUGGAAUGUUGACAAAAAUAAACACCGGUUCUGGAGGGCACCAAUUAUUCUAAACGCCAGCCUGCCAGGGGAAAGCAAUCACACCCAGACAAGCCUCUGAGCUAUCAAUAAUCACACACACAUACACAUACACACACACGUGAAAAAAAGCCCAAAACAGAGAUGUUUACACAUAGAUAAGACCCCAUGACAACCUCUGCCAAAAACAAAAACAGGACUUUGUGCGAGGCUGCGAUUACAGGAAUAAACAAACAGCAAGAAUAAUCAGACAAAGAUCAACCUCCGAAGCAGGAGUAAUCAAACACAGAGUGCCUGGGGGGCAAAACUGCAAUAAUCAAAUGCAGACUGCCAUUCAAGCUUGUUCGCUGUCAGGCCAGCGGGGUAAUGAUAUGAUGAGGAUGAAGCAAUUCCUGGAUUCAGGAGCUGUUGCAAAGCCGAGCGGACACAAGUCAAUCAUGCCUGGAGGGUUGCUCCUGGUUACCUUAUGAUUGUGGAGUGGGAAAAAAAAGUUACAGAAUGUUUUCUUCUGUAAAAGAAGUUUAAAAAAAUGAAAGCCCACAUCUGCCAAUUAAAUUUCAGAGAAAUAGCCCAAAUUUUAUUGACAGGAGUAUUAUUGUUUGUUAGCCUAAACUAUCACCCAUGUGCCUGUUUCUUAACCUUCAAAUUCAUCAUUUGCUCCCUCUGACAUGCAGUUUCCCUAGAUUGACACUUCUGGUGAGCCAUGGGGGGGAUUCGCUUCUGUCAAACAGACUCUUUCUGACAAUUCAGCACUAGCGGGCAUGUCCAAUCUUGAAGAUUCGUGGAAGGACACAGUUAGUAUGGUGCAGGACAAUGCUGAAGUGUUCACUCUCCUUUUUUGUUUGCUCUACAUAACAUUUAUUCUUGUAUGCCUCAGUCCUGGUCUUUGCCUGUGUGUGUGUUUUUGUGUUUGUGUGUGCACGUGUGAAUGUGUUACAUGUGUCUGUUUGGGAAAGCGUGACAUCACCUUCCUACCAUCGCAAUCAAAUGUCUCACGCUUCUCCCAAAUGUUCCUGACCUUCCUCAAAUAAACCUAUCAUCUGUGAUCAAGAGCUGUCUCAUCCUUUCUCCUACAUUCAUUGUGACAUGUACACACUUACUCUCUCUCUCUCGCUCACUCAUGUACACUGGGAACUUUUCAUGCAAGACUUUUUCUUUUUCCCUGUGGACUUAAACACACUCAGUUAUUUAGACAAGUAGGUAGGUAGAUGUUUGAUAGAUAGAUAGAUAGAUAGAUAGAUAGAUAGAUAGAUAGAUAGAUAGAUAGAUAGAUAGAUAGAUAGAUAGAUAGAUAGAUAGAUUCUUAAAGAAUAAUAUUAAAUAGGUUAGAAAAUGGUGUUAGUAAUUCUUUUUCUUCUUCUGCCUCUUGCAAACACUCACACAAACAUACGGCCUGUAUCUCUCUCCAUUGCACUGUGCUCUCUGCUCCCCCUCAGUCCCUGGGCGAGAUUAUUAUAGACAAAUGAGAGAGUGAGCUGGAGUGAGAGCAGAAGGAGCUUGGUUUUUGUCAGUGGGUCACACGGUGGUGGCAUGGUUAACUAGCUAAUAUGAUUAAAUUUAGCAGAGGCACAAGUCACAUUGUAAGCCCACAUCAAAGUCUACCCGCUACUGCGAGAGCGAAACGAGCCCUCUGUGAAAACCGAGAGAGGGAGAGAGAGAGAGAGAGAGAUGAGGGAGAGAGAUGCGCAGACGAGGAAAAGAGUAAUGUUUUAAACAUAAAACAGAAACAGAAUGGUAAAGAACGAUGAGGCAAUAAUGAGGCAAGAGGAGAAGUGUUAGCUUAACCCAUCAAGUGAACUGCAUGACCUGGAAAGUAGCAGUUAACAGCAAAUCCAUGUCUGUUUCCUUCUGAGCACAAAUGAAGGGUCAUUGACAAACACUUAUGAUGUCAAGUAUGAAACCAGCUCGCUGACCUUGUGGUUUGAUUAUCUGCCUUGAGACUGAGAGUUUGUAAGCACACUUCUCAGAUGGUUUAUUGCGAGGAAUAUGAAAUUGCCUCUAGAGUUGAGGGUUACAAUUGAACUCUGCAGCUGAAAGAGAUAACUGAUUCAACAUGAAGAAACUCGGGGACUAUGGUGUUCGCUGUAUUUAAGACUGCUGAACAUUUUUUCUGAGUUUUACCUCUUUUCAGAACAUGCUCACUCAGUAACAGAGUGUGCCUCAUCGAGGAGCCUAUAAUAAAACCUUUAUAAAUAAAUAAAACAAAGAGAUGGAAAUUCAUGGGUCCUUCUUACCAAAAUGAAAGAACGACAGCAUAUUUCCUCAAAUCUGAAUUCCUUCAUAAUGACGAAUGUUUUACUGGAGGACUUUUUCCUGACUAACUUUCUAACCCUGCAAUGUUACACUUUUAUCAUGUGAUGAAUUACCGGAAAGCAGUCGCUUUGUAAUGAUCGUCUUUGAAUUGAAGGUCUUGAUUAACUCAGUUGCUCAAAAUCAGAAAACAGAGAGGACGUCUGGCAAGAAAGAAGAUCGAAUCAAAUGUUUGUUCUGGCAAAAAGAAUAAUUAUGAUUUCCCCAAUAACUAUUGGUAAAAAAUAAUGGAAAUUAUCAACUCAUGUAUGUACAUUACCUAAAUAUGCAAGGCCAUUACAGGCCGAUCAGUUGGGAGUACCUCCCAAGUUUUUGUUCAUAAUGAUUUUUUUUAAAUCCAGCAUGAGUUUUAUGUAUUUUGGGAUGUAUUUACUCCAUGAUCAGAUGUUGCGUUCAUGGAAAUGCACCAUUUUACUCCAUUUACCUUUAGAUAUACAUUGAUGUUUACAGACCAUUGCUAAAUAUAUGUCAGCAAAAGAUAAUAAGGGCUUAGUUUUAGGGUUGAAAACAUUAGCAAGAGUCACAACUUCAGUGCAAAAGCAAAAAAAAAAAAAAAAAAAAAUCACAGUUGGAUUAUUCACUUCAACUUUUUGGCUUUUGAGAGUCUGCAUACAAAAAUCCUAAUAAAUCUCAACUGCGUUUAAACUACUGCAAAAAUGGCUAGAGAGAAGCAACUGAGUAAAGAAACAAAAGUACAGAUUUGUACAUUGAGAAAAGAAGGAUACACAGAAAGAGAAAUUGCUAAACACUUAAAAGUGUUUAACAAAGGAGUCCACUACACUCUAGAGGAACCUGGAAGUUAUGAUGAUAGGAAAAGACCUGGACGAAAGAGAGUUACUACAAAAGCAGAGGAUAAACAUAGCAUUGUUACCAGUAAGAGUGAUCGGCGAAAGACAGCACCAAAAAUAAGGGAGGAAAUCAACAUGACAAGGUCGAAACCCAUGUCUCUGACAACGGUGAAAAGACAUUUGAGAAAGGCUGGUCUGAAGGGUUGUGUAUCUGCAAAAAAACUACUUCGUCCACAGAACAAGAAAAAGAGAUAUGAGUGGGCAAAAGCUCACAAAAAUUGGACUUAUGAUGACUAAAAACAAGUUUGAACUGUUUGGUUCAAAACGCAGAGUCUAUGUCCGCAGACAAACUGGUGAACGUCUGAAAACACCAUGUGUGGUAGUUCCAUGGUAUGGGGAUGUUUUGCAGGUGACGGAGUAGGAGAUUUGUUUGAAGUAAAGGGUAUCAUGAAGAAGGAACAGUACCACUCCAUCCUCCAGCACCAUGCUGUUCCAUCUGGACUCAGACUUGUGGCUCAUAAGUUUGUUUUGCAGCAAGACAAUGACGCAAAGCACUCUUCCAAGCUCUGUCAGGGUUACCUAGACAAAAAAGAAGAGGAAGGUGUUCUUCAAAAGAUGGUUUGGCCCCCUCAGUCUCCAGACCUUUCUCCAAUUGAGCUUGUGUGGGAUGAAUUGGAUCGAUCGGUCAGAAAAAUGCUUCCCACGAAUCAGCAGUCCCUUUUUAAUUAAAGAAAGCGUGGAAUGAAAUCCCUGGAACAUACCUUAAAAAACUUGUGGAACGAAUGCCUGGUAUAUGCCAAGCUGUUGUUAAAGCCGGAGGAGGUUACUUUAAAGAAAGUAAAGUCUAAGCAACAAUAACUCAAAUACCUAAUAAUUAUAGUCAACAUGUCUUCUGAUAAAUUACUCUUUGCACAAUAGUCAUGUUUAUUGUAUUGCAAAUUAUAUAUAUGAAACUAUGAUCUUUUUUUGUACAAAUCUGAUCUUGCUUCCAAACUUUUGGCCAGUAGUGUACAUGGCUCUGAUAUGGGGCUUGAUCUGGCCUUAAAUCUAGGAAAUCCAAAUUUGUGAUUAUUAUACCCGGUAUGUAUUGAUUAACAUAUUUGCGACCAAAGAUGAUACAUCACCCUGGUUAAUGCUUAUGGUAAGAGGUGAUGUGAAGCAGACCCAAAUCUGAACUAAUUGAUUCAAAAUGUUGAUUUAAAUAAGUUUCUUAAUGUUUUUAAAAAUGAUAUGUUUAUCCUGCUUCAAAAAAAAGUCCAUCUGAAUUCAUGGUUAGUCACGCUACUGUGGGCAAAUGUUAGCAGUAGCUCAGCUUGGAGCCUUUUAUGUACUGCCGUUAGGGUUGAAGCCCAGAAGUGAAAAUGUGUUCAGCGUUUGUUGUUUGAGAAGAAAAGACCUUUGCCAGGAAAAGCCUCAUGGUCUAAUAAUGGAGCAGUUCGAAAACUAAAAGGUUACAGCUCUACUUAUAAAAUCCAAUCUGACUUUUGUCUUUCACUCGUGUUUGAGUCUGCAGACUAGCUCACUGUGUGAUUCUGCGGUCACAGUUUUAUGGUCAGGUUUAGUUUUCACGAGUAUCUAUUGAGAAAGGAUACUUUGCUAAGUCAUGAUUGAGUUGUCGUGUCUAUUAAGAGUGCAGUAGUGUGAUUUAACAUGACUAGAGGAAACAGCUCUUCACAGCUUUAAAAGUCCUUGGAUCAAUACGGUGCCAACAGUUUCUGAUCAAUGUGGCAAUGGAGUCGAGUUUCAGGUAUAGAGAUGCAGAAAGACAACCAGGAUUUCUCCAGAUUUGUGAAAAAGCUGCUUUUAUGAUUGUUGACGUUCAGCAAUAAUCCUCCUUUUUUGUAUGGUAAAAUGGGAGCAAUAAAAUUUCAGAUUCCUAAGUGAAAGCAGAACAUAAGUUUGUUAAGUUUUUAUUUAAUAAUUUACGUUUGUUGAGUUAGAGCAAUUGCAGCAGCUGUUACAUUGAUCUUGCCAAUAUUCUGCAUUUUGGCUUUAACAGAAGAUUUUGUCCCUGUUCCCAAUAAAGCUUUUAUGAGCUCAGCAUCUUCUCACUUUUGUUUAAAUCUUACAAUAGGCUAUUCUUUUGCAGUAAAUAUGUUGGUAUUCUUUACAUUUGAACUUGUGUCCUGGGAACCAAAUGCAGCUUGCACAAAGCAGAAUGACCUCAGAGAUUUACUAAAACACCGGGCUUUCUGGUGUGGGGGAGUUAGAGAGGAAGCCAGGAUGGCUGGGAGCAGGUAAAAAGCAGGCUGACGGUGAAGUUCAAGGUGAACAAAAAACUCUGAAAAAUACCAUCAGGCAAAAUAAGAACAAAGCAACUGGGAACAGGGUGACUCGAAAUAAGCUGGCAGUGGAACAAAAGGAACAAAGUGAAGUUAGGGACAGGAGGGGAGCCGGGUGAAUACGUUGCAGGGACAGUCAGGAAUGAAGCAGAAAAGUCAGAGACCUGUUGGAGAUGGGUGGAAAGAUUAUUCAAAGAGGUGUGGGAUUUGGGUACACACUGAAGAGGAAUAUUAUCGACAUGGAUGGCCUCUGUCUCCAAUAUCCAGUGCUGAUGGGUGCUGAUACACUAUCCUGGCAACGCUGCAUGUCAAAUUCAGCCAUUCAGGCCAAAUUCAACGAUUGGGGGCCAGCAGGGUCAAGUGUCUUGCCUGGAGACACUUUGGCAUGUGAACAGCAUGACCCCUGACCUUCGACAUGUUUUUUUUCUAUUUUCUACUCUGGCCCAUGUUUCAUCAGUCACAAUGGAUGGGACCAUCUGUAUGACCUACAGUAUAUCUGAGCCAAUUACCAGGGGGACUUCUAAAAGUUUUGGUUUCAGCUCAGAUGCUGUGCUGUCAGUGCUUUUAUACAGUCUAUGGAGGGGGGAGAAGAGGAGGUCGGACCUAUAAGUGUUUAGGUGUUUACAGUUCAGAGAGCACCGGCAUACUGCUAAUAGACUAAUGCAACACUCCACAUAAUCAUCCUCUCGCUAAUCUCACUACAAUUUCAGCCAUUAGCUUGCAUCAGAGAGAAGAACAAUUGGGAUGAAGUACUGACUGUAUUUAUAGGCUGUGACUUUCUGUAAUGGUGCAGAAAUGCUAAAUGAAGCUGUAAACGUUUAAAUGAACAGGCUGAUUCAGUUGAGUGGCACAGCAGAUACAAUUUCUCUCUGCCUCAAUAAGUCUUUCUUAUUUAUACUGAUGAGUUUCCCUGAUACAUGUCAAUGACAAUGUGACAUCCAGCUACUAGGAUUGGCAUCAGUUUCAUAUUUGGCAUUUGAUGUUCAUUACUGCUCUUUUUGUCAUUAGAUCUGUGUCAAAGCCUCAGUUCAGCAAUACAUUACAGAGCAUAUUCAGUAAAACCAUUUGUAGUUUGGUUCAGCUCUUUAUCAGCGAAGAUUACCAUGCAGCUGUGUCUACAGAGACCUUAAUACCUGUCCAGUGUGGCUGUCACAGCUGACAGAGUUAAGGACUGCUCUCACAGUGCUGUAUAGCUGCUCUCUUUACAAACACAUACUUUUGUCUGAAGUAAAAGACAGAAAGUACAGCCAUUGUGGCCAUAGGGAGAGUGUUUUGUUUCUUGACUUGGAGUAAGGAUCGUUUCUCUAUAUUACCUUUUAUCCGUGUGUGUAAUGAAUUUUCCUCGCCUUAAUAUAUCAGCUCAGACAGCACAAUAGCAUUGAAUUGUUGGGGGAGUCUCGGCUGAAUAAUGAGGCAAGAAAUGCAGAUAUUACACAAGUAAAAACAUCGAGAGUGAAAUGUUGCAUAAUUCAACACUAGGUACAACCUUCAUCAAUUUCUGAUCUGCUAAAUUUUACUGGGUUAGAGAGGACAAUGUUAAGACUCAAAGUAAUGAAUAAAGUAUUAUUGAGUAAAAGUUAAUGAUUAAAACUGAAGUGUUUUUAGUUUUCAUCAACUAGAAUUAGACUAAAAGGCAAAACAAACUAUAAUCAGACCAAAACUAAGAUGAAUUUAUAUAAUAAUAUUAUACAAUAGUAAAUUUUAUUUGUACAAACGGAUCAAAACAGAUGUAACAUGCUUUACAAACAUAAAAAAAACAGUCUAGCUGCUGAAUUUUUGACUAAUUGGAGGUGACAUCACAGUUUUUCUAAAAACAUAAAUUAUCUUUUGUGUGUCAUUAAAGGUUAGUAUGGAUCCCUUCUUAUGGUAUUUGGGAGAUGAUAAAAGUAUGAUUGAACAACUGUGUUUCCAUAUGUCUAAAAAGUGAGGCUGCUGUAAAAAGUAACUCAGAUAUUUAGAACAUUUAAUGUUACAUUAAGAGAGAGAGAGAGCCAACGGAGGACAGAAUUUUGGGUUGUAACUUCAUCUGCCUGAUAAUGAGUUUCAAUUUGGUCUGGGUUUCAAUUUAAAGAAAUUUGCUGCCAUCCAGCUUUUAAUAGCAGUGAAACAGUUGGAAAGGUCUUUUUAGUUGCCUGGAUCGACAGGCAGAUACAGCUGAGUGUCAUCAGCGUAGCAAUUACAUUAAAUAUGGUAUCUCUGUGUAGCAGUAUGAUAUGCUGCUCUGACUGAAUGCAUGCGAGCAUGCCUUUUCACCCCUGCAGGGUGGCUGGACUCCGCCUCAGAGAAAGGGUGAGAAGUGCAGUCAUCCAGGAGGGCCUCUGAGUAGAGCCGCUGCUUCUCCACAUUGAGAGGAGUCAGAUGAGGCUGGUUGGGCAUUUAACCAAGAUUCCUCCCCAUUGAUCCCUUGGUGAGGUGCUCUGGGCAAGUCCCACCAGUAGAAGACCAAGGGAAAGACCCAGGACACGCUGGAGAGACUAUAGGCCAAUCCCAGCUGUCAUUCUUUGCCCUUCCCCUUUGUCUAUCCCUACCCUAUAGCCGCCUGUUUUGAUGGCCAAGGGAAAGGGGUGAAAACCCGCCCCUAAGAAACAAGACGCCACUUGAUUCUCACAACUUCAUCAUGCCUUGCCGCUGGCUGUGUUGUAGGCCAAUGCCUACUGUUGUAACGUUUUACUGUUGUUAGCUGUUAUGGGUAAUAACAGUUGAAAAUAUCGCAAAAUACGUUCUUUUACUCAUGCAAGAGCAUACAUAAAAGCUCCUGAUGUUCUACCUUAGAGGUUAUUAAUGUACUGGAUGUAGCUUAGCUGUCUGAUCAUUCUGUCUGAUCAUUUAUGAAAUUCAGUACACUUUAGUGAAGUCUGUCUGCUGGGAAUUUGUCACCCGAGUCUGACAUUAGUGUAGCCAUCAAUAGCUAUAGCUUGGUCAGCUAGCUUGUCAUAACACGGAAUUUUAAAAUGCUAACAAUUCAAAAGAUAGCUAAUACUUACAUGCAGUAACAAAGGAUAUAAUAUCUGAUAAAAAAGUAAAUAAAAAUAAGUAUCAUUACUGUAAAAAUCAUAUCACACACAAUCUUACCCCUUGCUUCCAAAUGAGGUCCCAGUUUGUCUUUUUUCAAGGGCUGUGUACCCCUUGCCCAUAGCCCUUCCCCUUAACCUUGCUUGAUGUGAACUCGCAAAACCAAAGGCUAAGGGGUAAGACAAGGGCUAAGGGGAAAAUUGGGAUUGGCCCUAUGUCUCUUGGGUGGGUUCCUCCGGGAAGAGCUAGACAAAAUGGCUAUUGAUAGGGAAGUCUGGGCUUCCUUGCUUCCCAAGACCUGACUCUGGAUCAGCGGUAGAAGAUGGAUAGAUGGAUGAAUCUUGCCAGUGUUCAGAAGUAGUUUGUUUGAAGAAUCUCAUCAUAAUGUACACACCUCGGCAGUAGCCCUGGUGGCCCUUUAGGAAUUUCACUGGGGGAAUUUUCUAGUUGUUCUCAACACUGAAUUUACUUGUUAUUUAAGAAUAAAAUCUGAAUGGUUGAAACCACGUCCAACAAACGUGUGUCCAUACGGGUUCGGCACAAUACCUGCUUUAGUUUGUGUUAUGCAGCUUGCUAACGUGUUACACUGAGAAGAACUAAAGUGUGAAUAAAGCUGAAUCAUAAUCAUCACUGCUCCACAAACAUCAUCAAACUUCACCUUCAGACUCAUAGAAACACAAGCACAAACCGUUCCCUUGUGCUCGGUUGCGAAUUAUGAGAGCUUUGAACCCUCUCAGAAUAAAUUGGGUUGCAGUCAAUACGAAACACUGUUAUUCUGACACAUUUUAACUCAGGCAGAAAAUGUGAAAGCUGUUGAAACAUUAUCUGAACAGAAACUCAAACCCAAAACAAAAUGAUUAGCAGAAGAAACAGAAAAUGGACAGGAGGCAGAGCUAUGUUUUUUUUUUCAACAACAGGCGCUGAGUCAAAUGGGACAUGAGCCAGAGGAGCAGGAUCAUUAAACCUUCCUUUAUGCAGGAGAUCUCAAUGAGACAUGGGUCUAACUUUCAAGAGAGACCUAUGAUCCAUGACAUCCACGAUAUCUGUAAGUCCUGUCAAGUUUCUGUCUGAUAAUCGUUGAAGAUACAGGCUGUGAAUCUGUGAAUUCAAACCGAAGUAAACCAUUUGCAGUGGCUGCUGGCUGUUUAGUCGGGUCUGGAUAUGCAUUAUCACAUGCAUUCAUUAGUUGUUCAGGGUUUUUGCUGUUGAGCUCAUUUGUUAAUGUUUUGUUGUAGUUUUCUGUUCCUGCUCAUUCUGUUCUUGUGCCAAUUUGAAGCAGUGGAGACACAAAUGCAUACUAAACUCCUUAUUGAUAUUCAAAACAGUGUGUUACAUUAGCGCAAGCGAACUUACACAUUCCCCUCUUUGUGUUUGCAAACGCAACACUGAGCCCUGACAUUAUGGUAAAGGUUCAUGUUUUAGAUAUUUAAAUGAAUACAUUAAUUAUCUUUCUUAGCAGGAUUUUCGCUGCAUCCCUCAUAUAUGCUGGUCUUCAAACAGUGCAAACAGGGUAUACAGCUUAGCUUUGACACCCCCCCAAUACAUACAUUAACUCAUGUUUUGAAUAUUAAAUAGAGUCGACUAAAAAAAAAAAAAUAGCUGGGUGUUUUUUUCCACAGAGCUUAUCUAAUGUUCCUGUCAGAGAGCAAAAUUAGUGAUCCCACACUAGAAGCUGUUUCUCACAUCUUUCAGCUCAUUUUUGUAAUCACUUACUCCACAUUUUCCACCUCUUUACUUUCGGUGGUACCAUCUAUUUUGCCCCUCUCCCCUAAAGCACAUUCAGUCUGCUCUGCUCUCCCAGCACUGAGUGAAGGACACAGAGGACUGCCAGUCUGGUCCUCAUUAUAACAAUAUGUGUGAUACCUUUUACAGUUGUCAGAGUGAGGGGGUAAAUCUGGCCGCACUGCCCCCUCUGGCAGGAGGCCUGUCACAUCAAUGACCAGUGCUUCUUUCUGAUUCGCUGUCGCCCACGGUAACAGACUGAUUCUAAUCUGUGCCUGAGCCCUCUGCACUAAGAUAAUUAAAAACAUCACUUUUACAAGCAGAACACACAAAAAUCUUUUCCUUUUUUUUGAAGCAUUUCAUUUUUUUUUUUUUUUCCCCCUUAUUGUUGGUUGACAGGUAUCACAGCUUUUAUAAAUACCCAACUCAGGAUGUGACAUGAUGAUGCAUGCAUCAGGAGAAAAUUGAAGGGAAAGUGACAGUUCUUACUUCAAUUCUUUGGAGAUAACUGCAGUGUUUACGGGUAAACCGUCAAAUAAUGCACCUGACAUUUCAGGGCUUUAGUCAGUUUAGGGACUGCAACAGUUGGGAAAUCUUAUUAAUGUUUGCUGUAAGCCUCAAUGAUUAUGAAAUCACAGAGGAUUAUAGAAAAGUGUUCACAAGAAUGUCAGUAAAUGUUAAUUGCAUCCAGUGGGAAGAGAUAUAUUAGAUGGAGACCAAAAUACUAAAAAUGCAGUUCAUAAAACAAUGACAUACACCUCCUGACAGGGCUCAUAACCAACACUGUAUAUCAAUUUAUUGAUCUAUCGAUAGCCCAAUCCCCACACUGCUUCAAUUUACUAGAUUGUAUAUCACACUUACACACAAACAACUUCAGGCAGGUGCAAAGGCGAGCACGCACACACACACAAAUACAAGCACACACACACACACACACGAGUGUGCACACAAACACUUUAUAUCUCUCCCACGCACACACAGAUGCACACAGUGACAGGACUGACUAACAUAAUUCACCAGGUGGGAGGAAAAAUGCUCUAUAACAAAAAUGUCAAGGUGUUUUAAGAAUGAAAUAUGUUUGGGCACACAACAGCAGUUGAUGAAAUGUGACCUUGACUUCUUCUUUUUUCCAUUUUUGUUGCAUGGGAAUAAUGAAUAGUGCUGGGUCAGGAGAAAAGAGGAAAGGGAAAAAAGCAAAUAGAGGAGCCACAUUGAAACAUUUUUAUGGUUAUUAGAAUCAGUUGUCGGCACCAGGGAAUAAAAAAUGAGUUUUAAAUGUGACACUGUAUGCAUAAGUUGCUGGAUAACACUGAGAAGCAGCUAACUACUAACACAGAUCAUUCUCUGUUUAUAAUAACUCUUACUAAUUACUUUUCAGGAUCGAUGAAACCUGCAAAUUGAAUGGAACUGUUCUUUAAGCAGAAUUUAUAGCACAAUACAUAUGAGUGUGUGUGCCUGUGUAUGUGUGUACGAGAGAGAGAGAGAGAGAGUGUGUGUGUGUGUGUGUGAGUUUGUGUUAUCAGCCCACACUGCAAUUGACCCCUCUUUGGAAGUUUCACUGGGCGAAAUGUGAGUUUUAGGCAAGAAAAAAGAAGAAGUUAAUUAGAUGCUGAUCCUGUUGAGGACAUUUACCUUCAGAUAUUAUUUCUCAUAAUUAAGAAGUUCUUAACACAUCAACCCUAAUCAUCAAACAUGCACUUUGUUAACUCACUGAGGCUGUGUUUGGUCCAUGUUUGCUUGCUUUAAUAUUGAGGCUAAAACUAAAUAAAAAAGUAUAUUGCUCCAUGAAGAAUAGAUGUUUGCUUAAAGUUUGUGCAUGUUUGCCAUUUUCUUGCAUCAUCUCUUCUUUUAACAGCACUGUAAAUAUUUGAAACCAGAGAGACCAGUUUUUGGAGAUCUAAGACGCAUUUUUGUUCCUUUCUUGUCUGUUACAUUAUUCCAGUUGCUCAACGCUUGGAGUCUGCAGGAGGGCUCCUCUGCUACAGCGAUGUGUUGUUGUAAUGUGUGAAGUUGUUUGGCCUUGUCUCUCUGAAAUAUGCAGGGUCUUUGUUGAAAAAAAAGCAUUUUCUGGAAGGCAGCAGCAUAUUUUGCCCAAAACCUGUAUAUCUUUGUCAGGACUAAUGGUGCCCUACCAGAUGUGUACGCUCCCCGUGUUACGGACACUCGUGCAUCCUCACAUGUCAUCACAGAUGCUGACUUUUGAACCAUGUGCUGAUAACAAGCUGGGUGGUCCUCCUCCUCUUUAAGCCCAGUUUAUGCUGCAUUGGACCAACACUGCACCAGAUACUGUACGUCUGUGUAGCCGCGUCAUACACAGAAGCAAACACGUAGCCUGAAAUGCGCCUCCAUUAAAAUUUAACUACAUGUCAAAACAACAGAAACCUGAAGCCACCAUUCCUUGUCCUCUAUACCCUUAAAAUCCACCUUCAAAGCCUCUUUUUUUCAUAAGUACACAAACAAAGAGGGGAUUUAGCCAGAUCCGAAAUUGGCAACGUAAAACACACAAGUUUGUAGUGCUCACAAUGGUGUCAGCCACUACAGCGUUGCCAUGGUGUAGAGUCAAGGCAGAAGUAUAAAGCAGAUUUGAGAGCUGAGGACACAGUGUCCAUGAAUCAAAUCAAGAAAUAUCAAGAAAUUUUAGUUUUUGGUACCACAGGACAGUUUCUCUCAGUCCGUCUUACUGUAAAAUAGUUUAGGCCCAGAUCAGUCAGGCAGACAGUUAUUCGAGCUCAUACAUGGUUUCCUCUUUGCAUGCUACAGUUUUCACCUGCAUACGUAUUUGCAGUGACAGCGUUCACAGACAAAGGUAGUGCGGCGAUUUCCACUUCAGAGUCACGUCUGUUUUUCAUACAGUGCAGCCUGAGCAUCUUUGAAGCUGUGUGGUGAUCACAGCCCUCUCUCGUCUUUUAUGUGGAGGGGACAUUGGUCAUGAUUAUGAAAAAAAGGUGCUAUUCAAAUUCCCACCCCACAAGACUCUUUUCUCACUCUUCUUUACAGGACUUGGGCUCGAAAAGAUUUAUUGAUGUUUCUGGUUCCUGUUUAUGAAUGAUUAAGUCCUGAGGGCUCAAAGAUCACGGCCAUGGUAUUAGUUUUUUAUCCUCCUCAUUUUUGUACAAAAAUUUCUCCAGAUUCUCAGAAUCUUUAAUGGCUGUGUAAAUAUGUACAACAAGUGAAGAAAUACCGAUAACAAAUUAUCAAAAUAUGACUUUGGUGUCCACCCAGACACAGGAUUGUUGUGUGUCUCUUCCUUUGUCUUGUCCCCACUUAUCUAGCUGGCAUGAAUUCAUUAUGCUCAAACUCAGUUACACUAAAACAUUACCUCUUGUAUUCACCUAUCUGUUUUAUUUGAGGAGUGCUCUCAAGUUCGUCACAUUUCUUCGUUUGCUGCUAAUUUUGGUUAACUGUCUCCACACACCAAGCACGAGUAAAAUCAUUCCCACGACUAAAUUACAUGUUAAGUCAUGCAAAGAUGAUUAGACGCUCGUACUACUCUGGCGGCACGAAUGAUGCGAAUUUGGCGGGAGCUGAAAAUGUCUCAACUUGAGCACUUGACGUGUGAAAACAGACAAAGGACAAACUGCUCAUGUCGGUGCCCCAAAUUAUAUGAUACGUUUUCUUUCAAUUACCGAAACCGGAAUAAAUAGGAGCUCACCUGAAGGCAAGUGAGUGAGGAGGUCGGAUUACCUGAAAAGUUGUAAAAAAAAACCUUUGUCUAUCACUUGAUCCUGCUGGUUGAAUUGGCAGGGAUUACCGUUAGAAUUACUGUUGAUGCAUGAAUGAAGUGAGUACAUACACUUGGUGUGAGCGCCACAUUAGAGUCCCCACCAUGACCCUCUCUCCUAGUGACUCCAUUAUAGGCCCUGUGUGUUGCCCUUUCUCUGCCCAUUUCUCUGGCUCCUUCACCUAAUUCACCUCACCUCUUCUAAAAUACCUACCACUUUCCCCCUCCCCUCAUUCCCUCCCUUCUUUUCCCAAUCAAAUAUCAUUUCCCUAUGGGACCAGGACCCUACCUCAUAAAAGAGUCAUCAGCGGUGCGUAGGUCUUAUUAACAAGCAAUCUGUUUGAGCAGCCAGCAAAAAGGUCAUGGCAACAGCUAACAAGGGACAGAGGGAGGGUUAAGGGCUAGUUUGAAAUAGGGAAUUUAAAAUUGAAAGUAAGAGGGCACAAAAAACUGAGAGAAACUUAAAGAGGGGACCAUUUUUAUCAUUACACAGAGCACACAAAUUAAUUUCAAAUACACUGGUACAAAGACUUGGCUGUUUAAUAAUACAAAAAGUGUAUUUUUGCCAAAGACAGCAGCAUUUUUAGAGCCAUAAUCUCAGGUGCAAGAUCUAGACAGAGGUCUCAACUGAGGUCUUCUGAAUCCACAGUCUAGUUCAAUGGGAAAGUGAUUUGUGAACACUCACAGCCAUCAAAUCCUAUUAUGGCCGCUGCAAAUUCUCUCAUAAUGACUUUACGGAGACAUCCAAUGGUAAAAUCAAUCAUAGAUCCAUGCACUUAUUGAGAAGCCAUCAGAGCCGGAGACGAAAGUAAGGUGAGAGGAUCAAUGUGGUAUAGCAACAGUGAAACGCACAUUGGAGGGUAGGGUGGCAGUGGGCUGCUGAAGAGGUCAAUGGAUGGCCCGUGCUGGAGACAAAGAGAAGUGAAGCCGAUGAUGAGAUGGACUUUUACUGUAGCAACAGGGUGAAUCAAUAUCCCUCCAAAAAUGAUGGCGUAGUGGGUGUGCUUUGACUGCGGGUCUGUGUUCAUGAUAACGCUCCCAUAACAGUGAUGUACAAGCAUAUGUGCUGGUCUUGGGCACAAACAUGUCUGUCCAGCUGGCCUUGAAAAAGCUGCGGGGUGGGCAUGUCCUCCAAGAUUCUUGGAGUAGAAAGCAGAGCCUGACAUCAGGUUACCUCCAAGUAUUGUGAGGUUCUCAGAAUGAGUUGUUCAGAGAAGCAGGAAAAUACACAAAUGUCCAGAACACAUGAAAUACAGAUCGGCUUGUUAAAAAUCAUAGACAUCUUUACCCUUAUAUGAUCUUGACCAGUUUGGAGCCAUAAUAUGACACCCAAGGUUGAACUGAUUUUAUGUACACUCGUGGGGAUUGACAUAAUUUGAAAUAAUGAGUAUUAAACAUAUGUAAUAGAUAUGUUCACAUGUCCUAUUGUGUACGGGGGGAACCCAAGGACAAGCUGACAAAAGAAUAGGCCUGGGAUGAUCACAAAUUUUGCUAGACGAUAUAUUGUCCCACAAAUUAUUAAAGAUAAAUGAUAUUAUUGUCAACAUUAUUGAGACCGAAAUAACCAGUUAUGUAAUGCACAUAUUUUUUUAGAGGGCAAUUCGUAUUGUUGGUCAAAAGUUUGUAUCGUUUCUCAAAACGCUGGCUUUUCAACCAUACAAAAUGGCAGCAUUUUGUAGGCAAUGUAGCAACUACACUUUAUGAGUGCACACCAUUAUGCACUGUUCCAACUGUACUUGCUUUGUCAACCAAACGCUUUAUAAGGGUUGACUGUUGGGUCGACGACUCUGCAUCUCAGGGUGCAGUUUUUUUCUCCAGCUGGGAAAACUUGACCGGGUGAUAGUGUUUGAGGUGGGCAUGCAAGUUUGUUGUGUUUCGUUUUUUUGUUGCUAUAAUUUUUAUACCAAGCCGGCACACUGGCUCAUCUGUGUUGAUGCUCCCACCUUGCUUAUUGGGCUUGAAGCCGAAAUAUUCCCACAUCGGGGCUGUGGUAUUUCGCUUUGCAAUAAGCUCUUCCAUGCUCCCGCUCACUAGCUACUGCGGUCUUUGUAUGCUCCACGGUGCCUCCCCCCACAGAUACAAAGAUCCUGAAUGUCUGACAAGAUGGUUCACUUCCUUCAUUUCAUUCCGCUGAGGCACCAACGUACCGAGGUGCUGAGACCAAUGCACAGAGUGAACCCUCUUGUCAUCAGGCGUGUUUGGAGAUGCAAGACAAGGAAAACAAAUACAAACAUGCACAUGGCGAUAUAUUGAGUCCAGAAAAAUUAUUGAGUUCAUUUUAUUUAUUGUUGUUUGAUUGAAUGAUUUAUUGAUUAUCAUCCCAGGCCUACAAAAGACGGACCCACAAUAAAGCCAGGUUAACAGUGGUAAACAUGAGGCAUAAAAUCAGAUCAGAAACAGAAGACCUACUUGUUUGUUAGUCGCAACAAUCUAAACAUUUGAAAAGUCCUGCUUAACAUACCACAGUAAAACUGAAAGUAGAAGAGGUGCCUACAAAUUUCCACUAUCAGGGACAAACUUUGUGAAAUUAGCAGCCAACAAUAUUAAGUUAGACAGACACCUCAUUAUCAUCCAUGUUUGUUUACUAUACAGGCAUGUUUUACGGUUUCAAUAAUCUUUUAAUGUUGGCCAGGCUUACUUACCUCUUCAGCUUUCAAGGUCAGAAGAGGCCAUCGCAUUAAGCAGCAAAAGAUAUUAAGAGAAAAUCUCCAAAACCUUAACAGCUGGAGUCAUUUCAGUGUUGAUUGUGUUUGAAAUUAUUGCUUUCUUUGAUUAAAACACUGCAAAUACAGCUGUGCCCCCAGCUGGCUCCUGCAAGUGCCAAACUUGUAUACAUUCAAUACAACACAUGAAGCCAAGAAGAGCAAUACUGUGGAGAAGUGUGCACAAGACUGCAGAGUGUGCUAUUGCGUUGCGAUGUGUGUGUUGAUGGAGGCAAUAACUAUUUAAUUAAAUUUACACCAGUUAAACCUGGUAAUUCAAGCAAACGGGGAGGGGGAGGGGCAUGGUAUUAAUAGAAAUGAUCACAUGAGGCAGCUGAACUAUGAUUUGAUCCCAUUGGAGUCACUAAUACAUAUGAGUUCCAUCAUCGUGUAAGUUUCUCUCGAUCACUCCUGCAGAUGUUUUUCUGUUGUAGUCCUGCCUGCUUUCCAGAUGCUUCAUCUCCCUCUCUCCCCUCUUUAAACCCUCUCAGUCUCAGCAGAUGACUGUCUAACAUUAGUCUGGUUCUACUCGAGGUUUCUGCCUGUUAAAGGAAGUUCUUCCUCUUCACUGUAACUUGAUGAAUGUUGUGAAGCUUUACAUUUAUGUGGUUGAAGGUGGGGUGGAAAGGGGUCUGAUCCAUAGACUGUAUAUAGAAUGGACGCCGUCUGCCUCCUCGCUGGGUGAAGCCACCCCUAGAACAGCACCCUCUGGUGACGGGCUGCAGUAUAGGUCAUAAAUCCUGCCUUCUCCAGCCAUCCCUAUAGAGCUGUGGGCAAACUUUAGAAAUUUAUUACACAAAAUAUACAUUUUUCUCCCCCUGCUUGCGAUGUUGACAUGUAGUUACAGUGAGACUGGUUUUUCUGCUCAGGUCCUCUUUUUUCUGUGCAGCUCUACUUUUAAAAGUUAUCAGGGGGUUCAUGUCCUCUAUGAUUGACACUUGAUACAGCAUAUGGUUGUACAAAGAUUGCAUAGCUUACCUGGGGGAUAUGCUGUUUGAGCCGAGCGUCAUCACAGCAACUCUCAGAGACUCUUCCGCCAAAUGCAAACAAUGCAACUGCGCAAGUGGUGGAGUGCGUACAACGUUACUGAGCAAUGUUGGUUUCAGGCAGUGUUGUUUUUGGAAGGAAUUUUAGAUUUAGUUUUAGUCUUAGUCAUUUUGACAAAAUGCUUCUUCGUUUUAGUCCCAUUUUAGUCAUUUCUAUCCUUGAUGGUUUUAGUCUAGUUUUAGUCGAUGAAAAGGUGCCUUUUGAGGUUUGUGGUGUUCUUUCCCGACAGUUUGAAGCCGCAGCGUGAGGAAGCUGUGGCUCCACAACUGUCUUCUGUCUCGUCUCCCCGUCCCCGUAUAAGACAUUGUGUUUUAUUGUCACUUGGACUGUAUCUGAAGUAGGACCAUAAAUCAUCCCUCUUUUUUUGGCCAACGGGCACCGCUGCUGUGCCUGCCGCCAUGGUGUGUGUGUGUGUGUGCGCGCCUCGUCCACCUGCCGCUCUGUGUAUGUGUAUGAGUGUGUGCGCGCAAAUGUGCGCGAGCGAGGCUUUUGGUGCGUGUGUGAUGGGGGCGUGACUGUUAGGACAAAAAAAAGCAUGUUUUGAAACUUUGUUCGUCCACCUAAUAACAAUUUAGUCUCGUCUCGUUCUCGUCUGACGAAAAUGAAUACAAUUUUCGUCACAUUUUAGUCUUUACAGAGCUUUGGUGACGUUCGUCUUAGUCUCAUUUUCGUCAAGGAAAAAAAGGGGUCUGACGUCGUCAUUUAAGUUGGUUUCAGGAAGUGGAGAAAAAACCUGGAAAAACAGAGAGCUUUUAGGCUUCAAAGUUGUCCAUGGUAUAUACAGUCUAUGGUCUGAUCUCACAGUACUUUGGGUCUUUCGAAACAGAAUCAUGUCAAUACCACCUUUUUUUGUUAAGCCUCUUGGGAUAACACUUGUGUAUUGGAGCUUGAUUGAUUGUUUGAUUGAGAUUUGAUUGAAAUGAAACUUCUCAUUUUUCUACAGUCUUUGCUCGCUGAACCGGGAAACUGAUGGUGGGGCAUGAGGAGUCGAAACAUGCAAUCAACACCAGAUGUAGGCUUUCAGUUACACUGGGGAUCUUGUAAGUAUAAUGAGUAUUUAUAUCAUUAUCCUAAAUUAUAUAAAUGAUUAUGUAUUGAAAUAAUAUUGAUCUCUUUUUCAGUUAUAGCAGCUCAAACUUCUUGGCUUUCUUGAUGAAAUGUUUGUUUUUCUGUAGUUUCACAGUCCUGUUGUAAGACCGCCUCCUUCAUUUAGCUGUCAGUGGAAUAAGUGCAAAACACAGUGCUUAUUUAAAGUUCAUGAGUUAAGCUCUAUGAUUGAAUUACAGUGGUUUCUUGAGUGCAGUAAUACAAAGACUCAAAAGAGGCAACUGCUAAAGAUAUGGAUGAUUUCCUUGUCAUAAAUGAAACAAAAUAUGAAAUAACAGUACAUUACAACAAAAGAAGUCUGUCAGUCUGUGCAAAGAAACUUCACUCAUCCAUCAUUUACGAGUAAUUGAUUUCCACUCUGUCCUACACUAUUCCAUGAUAAAUGGCAUACCGCUACUCUUUCAGGAGAAAAAGAAAGCACCCAAGUCCAGAACCAGUAUAAACACCAGAUCUAUUUAUUUAAAGGUCUCUGGAGUUAUUUUACUCAUUUCUUUCUCAUAUAAAUUACCCUUUGAAUGUAAGUCUUCCCAAGAUAUCUCAUAAGCUCUGCUCUCCAAGCAUAGCUAAGGAGCAGGCGUGCACACUCACCCAUUCACUCACAUGCACCCUCACAAAGUCCACUCACACCACCUUUUUGAAAUUCUUCGGAGCAGGUGGACUUUCCACUUCCCGACACAAAACUAAAAGACAAAAAGCCACUUCAGAACUCAACGACUUCUAGCCCCCCAUGGGACUUAGCGGAUUAGUCAGGAGUGAGGGAGCGAGGAGAGAGAAAGACUCAAGAGUGAAAGACAUAAAGAGGGGAGUAAGAGAAGGAGAGAGAGAUUGGCUCCCCCUUUCUAUUCCCAUUGUGGUCCAUGGGCCGUGCCGUCUGAAUAGCUAUGCUAAUAGGCAGCUGAAAGUACGAAGAGAUAACACAAAACCCACUUGACUUCCUGACACCUACUUGAGUGGGGCCACAGCGUUUUCCAAGCCUAGUUGUUAUUCAUGGGGCCUGAAAGUAGCCUGUCUGUCAGCCUUAGGGCGGACGGUUAUUUCGUAUAAGAAGUGAAAUAGUCAGACAUAGUGCAGGCUCUCCUCUUUGUGGCCUACCGUUACAAUUGGCAGCUUAAGUAUUAAUUAUCAUUUAAAUGCUUGUUGGAGAAGAGAGGGUCUUUUUGAAGGUGGGAGUGCAGAUUAGGGUCUUGCUGCGGUUAUGGAGAUUUCGCCUGAUCUUUGGCAAAAGGUCAGCAACUGCUGAGGUUUAAUCAUCUGCAGCAGCUGCAGAGUCUAAACAAACAGCUGCAAUUUCAAUGAAGUACCUGAAGUGCCUCCACUUCUACCUGUCACUACACCUGCGUGAUCAUGGAUGAAAUACAAAUUAGAGUUGAAUACCUAGCAUGAGAAUAUCUCCCGACUUAGUUACCCCCCAAACCCAAGUAAGAAGAAUAAGGGUGGGAGGGAGAAACAUUCAUCUGUCUGUGGGAAAAUACAAACGUAUAUAUCGGACAAACUAAAUUAACAUGAACUGCUAGAAAAUGUCUCCAAGUCCUGUCCCCUUUUUCUCCUUGAUGCUCAUCCUUUCAGCAACAAUCAAAUCAAAAUGGUGGAAAAACUCAGGAAAGUGUAAUUGAAUGGCUUCAUCUCUAGGUCAUGGUGGUCAUGCAGUGAGCUGAUCAUUACCGUCGGAGCAAUGGCAGCACAUGCCUUGUCCGAAACCUAAAUGAAAUCAUUAAUCCCUGCCUUGAUUCCUCUUCAUUUUUAAAAGGCCCAACUGUGAAUCCACAGUGUCAUUUUUAACAAGAAGAGUUUUGAUGCAGCAGGAGAGGUAAUCCUCCUGUGAGCAUGGCUUAGGCUAAAGACGGCACCGAAAGAGUGACAUGGCGUGGACAGCUGGGUUGAUUAAAGGGAAUGUGAUGGUUCCUGAUUAAAGGGUAAGUUUUGUCCCAUAUCUUUUGGGCUAUGACAGCUGAAGAUGGCAGCUCACUGCCAUGGAGGGGAUGCUCACACCCAUCACAGGGAGCAGUAAUGAGAGGAGCCCCUUUCUUGGCAACGAUUGAGGCUGUUGGAAAUAUAUUUCUUUUCAGCCUUGCAAGUCAUACAGUACAGUUGUGUUUGAUCAACAUUCAAACAGCUUCUUCCUUCCUCGCGCAUUAGGCUUGAAUCGAUGAUUGGUGUCACACAGCUUUUUUAAAAAACUGCAGAAAAAGAAAAAAAUCACAAGUGUUUAAAAUCCAUGUGGCCAACUUUUGAUAUCUCCCAUUGGCAUGGAGUCACUUAAACGAUAUUUCUUUUUUUUUCUUCUUCUUCUUCUGAGACAGUAUUCUGUUGAUUCCGGGCUGCCAGUUCAAAAGACCAAUGUAAUUAAAAGAAAUUGCAUCAGCUGGAGCUUGAGAUCUCUCUGCCGAGAGUGGAUUCAUUCAAAUGCCGCCACGCUUCAAGUUACAGAUUGUGUUGUCAUUUUGCCCUCAAUCAAAGCAUUACUUUGAUGAGGGCCGUCUUGUCCAGAAGACAAAAGAAAAAAAUCCAGCUUACUUCUUGAAAGCCUCUCCACGACUUAGACUCCUUCUUUUAUUCUGGAUUUUUGGUUCAAAUUAUUAUUUUGCUCCAUGUUCAUGUGAAAAUUGCACUGAUAAUUACUGAACUGAAAUCUGUGUCUGGGAGCACAAAGCAAGCUCUCGCCAUCAUUUUAUAAUGGAGGCAAUUUGCAUCUGCUUUCACUAAGGCUGCAGUGGCAAGCCCCUGAGAAUCAAAGGUUGAUUAAUGCGUCGAGCCACAAUUUAUUAGCAGCUGUUCAGGUGGCUUUUGAUAGUAUGUGCAUGUGGGGGUUGGGUGAGAGAGAGAGAGAGAGAGAGAGAGAGAGAGAGAGAAAGAGACAGAGAGAGAUUAUGAUUGAGACCGAAAAUGUAAAGCCCAUUCAGACAGAGCUUCAGUACAUCAGAGCAGAUGUGUAUCCAACCUACACUUCAGUGCUCAUCAAAAGAACUUGAACCAGUUUUUUAGACAUCACUGCAGACAUAACUCCUCAUCCUUUUAAAAAAUGACAUCUCUGGAAACAAUUUUGUGAAACUGAAUGCCUGUAAUUGAAGAGCUGCACUUUCCACACACACAUACACAUAGAUAUGGAAAAAGAAAUAAAUGUUGCUCUGAGAUGUUUGAGUUUUACACUUUGAUCUAAUAACUCUUCAAUGACUCAAGUGUGCAGGGACCAUCUACAAAGAGCAGAUGCUGCGAAAAUAUCCAAGACACAACAUUGGAAAGGUGCAGAGUUAACAUGACUUCACACAUUAGUGUUGUUGGUCAGAUUAAAACUGUUAUUUUGGUAAAAUAUGCCAGCAUAUCAUAGCAUAUCAUUUUGAGAUAUAUUUAAAUAUAUUUAUUUUAUAUAUCUAUAUAUAUAUACAUAUAUAUAUAUAUAUAUAUAUAUAUAUUUAUAUUUAUAUAUAUAUAUAUAUUUAUAUUUAUAUAUAUAUAUAUAUAUAUAUAUAUAUAUAUAUAUAUAUAUAUAUAUAUAUAUAUAUAUAUAUAUAUAUAUAUAUAUAUAUAUAUAUAGAUAGAUAUAUAAAUGAACUACUUUUAUUUUGACUUGAGUAGAUGAGCAGAUUUGUGUUUUCUACCUCAGUCAAUGUUCAUCAAAGUAUCUUUCCUUUUUUUUUCAUUUGCAAAGUAUUUCAACACUCUCUCUGAUCCUGGAUGAAUUGCACUUUUCUCACAGCGUUUGCCGCAAAAAUCUUUGACAGUGAAACACACACUCAGCUCAUAGUGCCUGUUUAAGUGCACUGACAGGAACUUUGGCUGAACUAGACAACACGCAAAUGUCCGAAUAGAGUCAAUGCCCAAGUCUGAGUCAUCAUUGACUUUAAAGUCAAGUCACGAGCACUGAAAAUCAGUAUCUGAGUCAGACUUAAGUCUGAAUCCUGGACUGGAAUUCCUAAACAUAGUUUCAUUUUAUAAAAAAUAUAUAUGCUCCAAGUAAGAUUUUAAUCUGCAAAUUAAUUUCAUGACAGUAACAUGGUUUCCCCCUGCUCUCAAGGCUAAAACCUAGACAUUAGUUUGGAUCAGUUUUUAGAAAGAAGUGUUUCAUUUUAGUCACAGUUUGGUUCAGGGUCAGCGAAAGCCACCUUUGUGUAUUAAAAAGCGGUGCAAGGUGGUUUUCUGUGACAUUUCAAUCUCCACUCUGCAGAUAUUCUUUUGAAACCCCAUAUAAAACCACCUGAGCAGGUAUUAUACUCAAUGUUCACAUAUGAGUUUUCACUCGCUGCAAUUUCGCACACCGUAGCCUUUAAGGAUAAUGAAAGCAUUAAUUUGAACUGACAAGACAGCACCGAAAAAGAAAAAAAAAAAGCCUGCAGAAAUAUUGAAUCUACCUAUAACAAGACAAGCCAGAACAACAUGAAUACACUAUAUCUCUCUUCAUCUGAGUCCACUGGGAAUGGAAAUGUCAGUCGAGAUCAGCUUAUUAGCUCUGUCAGUGUUAUCGUUGUUGCAAUAUCUUUAAACAAAGCUAACGCUGUAAAGUACCAUAGCUUCAUAUCAAUCAGAACAACAACAAGGGCAACGCUAGUGAGGCGUCUUCUGAGCAAAAACAUAACAGAUCUUUGAGUUGUUGUUAUUUCUAACUUCAGUUGCUGCUAAAUGUUUAAACAAAUAGAUGAAUAUAUUCUGUUGCAUACCGAACUUGAUGUCUAGUUAGCUGAUGUGUUCUGCACAAAAUUUACAAAAACAGUCUAAAACAUGGAAGGCCAGAAAAAAGAUACAGACAUAAGUACUUUAAACCCUUAUUCAUGUUCUUUGUUAAACAGAAUCUUACAGACCAUCCAAAUGUGUUUCUGAUGUUCCUGAGCUGACAGCAGAAGAAGAAACGGUGCUUUGGCUCACUUGGGAAUUUGAAAGAAUUGGGAAAUUUGAAGGAAUCAAAAACGAAAACAGGAGACAAUUACUUAUUUUACUACUGCGAAGAUUUCUCUUUUAAAUUUGAAUAGAGAACCAAACCGGAAUUGAGAAGACAUAUUUGACUGAAUUGGGAUCAUUCAAAGGAAUCAAAAUGAAAGAGCUGCCUCUUGAAUAAUUUUAUGACGAGGUAUCUUAGUUUUACUUGAUAUUUUGUUCACGUUCAAGCCAUUGACAGUGGAGAAAUUUCCAGAGCUGAGCCUGACAAAUGAAAUUAUUUUUAUGCUGUUGUAGUGGCAGGGGAGAUGCUGGGGCCGCUCAGCUGGACCAUCUAUCACGCAAUCUUUGACACAGAGGGCACAUCAAUCAAAACAAUGACCUGGAGAGAUCCAGUGUGCCGGUUGCACAGAUUUACUUUCCUGCCAAAUUUGAAACAACCAAGAAGUGUGAACAUCCUCACUUCCUGCAGAGAAAAUGCAUACGUUCACCUGACAAGGUAAAAAGAUGCAUCGUGACAGAGAAAUAUAGGAAGCUAUAGAGAGCAAAGGAAGAGAGGUUGCAGAGGAGGAGGAGGAUGAAAUGGAAUCGUUGCCAAGGCACAAUGGAACUGUAUAAAUCUAAGCGAGUGCAUUUGAUCAUGGGCUUUUGACAGAAACGAGGAUGGGAGAAUGUGGCUGAGGGAGCGGAUGCGGAGGAGAGGAAGUGUGAUAAUGCGACUUGCCACCGACAUUUUAUGAUUUUGUGCACGUCCGAAACACUGCCACUUUGUCAUGCCAAAGUACAGUGGUGGCAAGGGUAGAGCGCUGUGAUAUUUCCAGCCCGCUGCAGUGACACAUGUAGUGGCUUCAGGCCAUGCAGGUUUUGUUAGAACCUGACUCAUGGUCAUGAUGUAGUGUCUAACACUGUGAUAGCUUUGAGACGUAUGAGCUGGUAUUUUCAGUGCCAGACAUGGGCUGCGUUUUCCCCAGCUGGAUUAAAAACCAUUCCCAAAGGAGAAAUCUGGAUUGAUUGUGUUUUUAGGUGUAGGAGCUGCUCUGAAUUACUGCUGUCACACCGAUUCCUAGCAUGCUCUGUGACAAGAACCCAGACCACUAGAACAUAAAGAAUGAAGUAUGAGCUUUUUUUUUUUUUUUUUUUUUUUCUUGAGGAAGAUCUGGCCUAGCUUGUGUCACCAGUAUGCUGUCAGAGCCCAGAACACAACUAAGUCAGAUUGUAGCCCUAAUAUAUGUGUUUAAACUCACAGUGAGACUUGAUAUAUUUCUUAAAGUUUUAUUAAAAUAUACCUUUAAACUCAAACGCCUUUAUGGAAGGGGGAACCACUGUUCUGUUUUCCUUGGAGGUACUGCAGAGACCGAAAAUAUAUGUGGAACAGGCUCUGAAGCUGUCCCAGUCACAGAUAAGUUGGUUCAAAGCGGUCGAGCCAGCUCUCCCAUCCCUAUCUUUUCACCUGGGGCGCAGCUGGAGCUCAGUGGUAGAGUGUGCUGCCGCUCAAUCAGAGGGUUGGUAGUUCAAUCCCAGCUCUUACAGUCACAUGCUGAAGUGUCCUCGGGCAAGACAUUGAACCCAAUUUGUCCUUGGCGAUGUAGUGAUUAGUGUGUGAAUGUGACUGAAUGGAAUUACCUCAUACUGACGAACCCUAACAGCCCUUCCGCUGCCAUCAGUGGAGUGUAUGGAUGUGGUUUAAAUGUGGGUGAAAGUAAUGAGUGUUUUAAAGGUUUUUUUUUCUGGCGAGAAAGAUAAGGAAAGUGCUAUAAAAGCACAGGCCACCUGAUAAAGCCGUGAAACAUGAAGCAGCAUAUCGUGUUCAGUGGAUGCUUUUGUCUUUGAUGCCUUCUGCAGAAGUUUGCCCUUACCACCAGGGAGUUUGACUGAUGUCAUAACGUGCCCUGACCGCCACCUUGAUUGGACGGCAAAGUUCCCAUGCACGUUUAUUGCCAAGUUGUAGAAAUGUCAAACUGAACCUUAACAGGGUUAUGACACCACUUCACUGCAAAGCGAAUCGUACAACAAAGAGAAAGUGAUGAGAACAGGAGUGAGGUAGAAAUGUUUUAAAGUUCAUACAAAAACAUAGAUAAUAUCAGAGGAGUGAAGUUACCCCAUUAGUUCCAUCUGUGCUUUGGUUGUUCUGACCCAUCUGAAAAAGGUCAUCACACCGCAAACAUACUGGUGUUUUAACUUUUUUUUUUUUUCCUUUUAAUUUGUAAAUGGACAGCUGUUUACGAUAUAGAGUACUAAAACUGGGAAAAGGAACCUGUUUUUUAAUUUUUUUUAUAAAUUAUUAUUGUUUUAAAACAACCUGGAAGAGAUAGUGUUUGAACAUGAAAAUAUGACAUACAUAAAUGAAUAAAUAAAUGAAUGAAUGAAUUGGGCAGGACAGUAUUACUGGGCCCUUUUCUGGUAAUGUCCACAAAUUCUGUCUGUAGUGGUUUCACAUGUUGAACGCACUUAUUUCAAAGUUUAAUAAACACAUCUUCCUGAAGAUGUGGACAAAGAUGUAAACCCUUUACAUAACACAAAUAUCAUUUACUAUAUGGGGGGCUCAGGAAGCAUUCAAUGUCUGGUAAUGGCUUUUUUCAAGCAGAGAUUAAAAGGUCAAAUAUAUAAUUAUCAGCAGACCUUGCUGAGAAACAACAUUUCCUAUAGAAACUAUGCUUUAAAUAUAGAAUUUAAUGUGUAAUGUUAAUAGUCUUUUUAAUGAUUUAUGUAUCUCUCACGUUCCACCUGAUGUGUCUUGAAUCUACACAACCUACAAGAUGUAUAGCCCUCUCCGAUAAAAAAUGCUUUCUUUUUUGGUGUAAAAGAGAACAAAACAAAAUGUGUUAAGUUUCUUUCAGUCCCUGAUAAAAUUUUGAGAUGACACCCUCAUUUGAAUUAUUUUUGUAAGCAGCCAUAAAUAAUCUCAAAAUUGUCUCAAAGUGGCUGAGCACCUGUAAAAAAAAUCAAGAUUUCUCUAAACCGUCUUUUCUUUUCAAACACUCAAAGUCUUUUUAUAAAACUCUUACCUGUGAAAGAAAAAUGUGUUGUGAUUCCUUUAGUAAUAACUCAAAAACACUUGAUCAAAAGAGAUCCUCGUCAGCCUUGGCCAUUUGUUGAGAAACCAGGCUGAGAAGCAGCACUAGAGCCAGGCCACCAACUGCUGCAGAUGGGGUCAGAGUUACUGUAUUAGUUAAUUUCAAGAGGGUCUGACCCCAAACGCCAGUGUAAGCGUGGGUGUAAGCUGUUUGCAGCGGUUUACCUUGAUGUCAGAAAGCCACUUUGUUUGAUCAUGAUUACACGUGUGUUCCUCCAGCCUGCAGAACAUGGGGUCAGCUGUUCUACUGCAAAUGAACAUGACUUUAGCUUUGUGCACUGAUGAAUGUUAACACUAUUGCAUGUAUUUUUUUAGCUACAGAUGCUAAACAGUAUGUGGUUCACACAGUAAUGGCUGCAGAGUUUGUUAUUUCAGCUCCAUCUUCCCCUUCAACUGCUGACCUGCAAUCUAUCUUCAUUUAUAGAUAUGGGCAAAUUCACAGCAAGUGUCAUCUCAAAACAAAGGAGGAGGUCUGGAUUGAAAUUUUUUGUUUUAUUAUUCUCAAAGACUAAAACUCGUCGCUGUCUGAAAAACAUGUAUCUCCAUUUUAGCAAUCUAGACUUUUUCAAUACAUGGAUGGUCCUUAAUCUUCCCUAACAACCUGUAGCUUUGGGUAUCCAAAUGACCGAUGGAAAGACAUUUAUAACAUCAUCUUUUUAAUAAGUAUCUCGAUUGGGUGUUGGAAGUGUCAACAAACCAUGAAUCUCCAGCCCUGGCCCUGCGUUGUCAUGACAGGACUCAUUACAGUCCAAAAUAAUGCUACACUAAUGUCCUCACAUCGACUGAUGCCAACCUAAAACUUUUUUUUCUAACCAUGAGAGUGUUGCUUACCUGUACGUGAGAUUUCUUGAGCCUAAGUUCAUCCCUAGAGGCAAAGCUGCUGCUGUUUUCUCUUUUACACUCAGUCGCGGACACUAGUGCAUGUUAAAUCGGGAGUCAUGACUCAUAAAGGUUGACAACCAAUGUGCUAUGUGGAAAUGAAGGAUAGCCUACUAUCAGUUGCUUAUCAACAUAGUGGAACAUAAACAUGAAACUUGAAGCUCGUAAACAACUGAACAUCAUUGGAGCGCAUUAUUAAAAAAACAUGUAUGUCCACUAUCACUCACAAUGCAAAGCACGGAAGUCUAUUUAAAAUAUCAAACUGGUCACUGAUGACUGUGUAAACAAAGAUUUUGACUUCGGGUCAACCGAAGUUUCUAACCACAGUGUUUUGGGUUUAUUCUGUAAGGUAGUUUAUGAAUAAAAUUGUUUUUUAAUGUACCUGAAAAAAAAAAAAAAAGUUGGAGAUACGUGUUUUUUAUUGGACAGCAAUGAUAAAGGAUAAGAUUCAGUGUUACCCCAUCUUAAUCUGACAUGAGCAGAGAACUUUGAAGCCUUUAUCAAGUUACAGUGGAGAGGAAGAACUCUCUUUAACCGGCAGAAACCUUGAGCAGAACCAGAACUGAUGUUAGACAGUCAUCUGCUGAGACUGAGCUGGGUUUAGAGAGGGGAGAAAGGGAGAUGGAAAAAGAGAGAGAUGGACAGAUGAGAGACUGAUAGAGGGAGAUGACAUUAUAAGUGUAGUAAGAAUGGUGAGACUGAUAUUUUAGUGAACACAGUGAAAUGAUAUUUUUUUCUGUUAUCUGAACAGACAGUCUGUAAAACAGCAGCGUUCUGUCAGGUUGAGAUCUCUGAGUGGUGGGUAAGUGUAAACUAAGGCCGUUUCUGAGCUGCUGGUAUCCUCAGAUUCAGAGAGGUCUUGAAAUGCUGUUCUUACAGAAUACCACUCGUGACAGCGGUAGCUCUCUCAGUUCGUGCGAGGGCUCCUAUUUUACACGACCGCACCACUGGGUAAUCCGGGAUCUCUCCUGCCCUCCACUCAGCACAGAAGCUCCUUACCUCCCUCCUGGUUUGUUGAGUCCUAUUCUACCUCAUUUUACCUCAGUUCAUUCAGGUGUCCUCAUGCACCCAUAUCUUUGCUCUCAGAAUCACUCAUCUUUUGAGUUUGGUUGGAUUUGUGGUCUCUUUUAAAGCCAGAGCCAAACAAGUCAUCUGCUCGCUGCAGGCAGAGAAAAUUGUGUUGCAUGUUUUCAAAAGUGCUGCAAACAACCCAAAUGUAGUAUACAUUUACACAGAUAUCUUCUGAAGCUGACAAGGACAGAUAAUACACAUGGACCUAAAACAUCUUCAUUAGGAGAACUGCGCUGCAAACCUAAAAUCACAGUAAAUCAUGAAACAGCUGCUAAAGAUAAAUGCUGCCUUGUCUCCUCUUCUCUGAAAAUCUGAGCUGGAGUUUAGCCCCAUGAUGCUUGGAGCCAAACCCGGCAUGAUUUCCACUGCGCUGUUGAGUGCAGCUUCCUCCAGCUACGGACCCCAGUUAGUCGUGCAGCUUGGGCUACAAUUAGCUGACUCUGCCUGAUGUGAGGCUCUCAGAACACGGGCAUGUUGGGCACAAUGCUCCAUGAGCCGUGCAGUUAGCGCUAGCUCAAGGCAUCCGGAAGCAGCUUCACAGAACCCCUGCUCAGGUCUCCUGAGAUGAGGAAAAAUGAUGCCUGUCAUCCCCCUCAUUCCCCCACCAUCCCCACUGUGUCUUUGUCAGAACUGCUUGUACAGUCCAGGUCAGAGUCUUCUGUUGAUUUCAGUAAUCUAACCUUAAACCUUGAUAUCGAACUAUCCACUUUUACAUUUCAACAAAAAAAAUUCAGUGUCCAGUUUUCUGUUCUAUAUCACAAAGUUCUUCCCACAGACCUGGAGCACUUCUUUAAAAACUCUGAAUUUGCCAAAUUCAACUGUCAUAGUUGAACUGAUUUCAUGUCUUUCUGACCUUGCAUGGUAUAUGUAUGAACAGUGCAUUUGCCAUCAUCAGUGCAGUUGUUCUGGCUUUUUGCAGGUUUAGUAUUUCUUUUUCCGAGGACAUUUAUGGAUUUGAUUUAGACUUCAGUAUAUGAUUUUUAGUUUGGAUUCUGAGACGUCUGCAGCACUUUCCUCCUGAUGGAGCAGCCAUAGACAUUUAUGUUUGGGUCAGACUGUCUUUGAAUUAGCUGCGUCUCAAAGCUAACAUGUCAGAUUGACCCUGCCCGCAGCAGUCAAAUCCUAACUUCAGGAGUGUGUUGACUAGAUCUCACAAACUAUAAUCUUCCCACAUAGAAAGAGUGAAUAAAUCUCCUUGUCUGAAUUAGGAAUAAGAGCCGGUUUGUAAAUUUAUCUCUGCUCCGUAUAUUCCAGGUUUUGUCAGAUAGGCAGCAGCUCAAACUCAGGGUUGAGAGGAUGUGUUUGUCAUUGAUGAUUGACAGGGCUUCCCUGUGUUUGUCUGUGCUGUAAAGGUCAUCUAAUGGCUUUUGGUGACUGCCCUCUUUCUCCUUUACCAUCUUAACAAGCCUGGUCCACUUGUUCCUAUUUAUUGCAGUCAAGAGCCCACAGUAGACGUUCACUUCAAUUGCUCUCCAUUAGACUCAAGUGCACUUUUUUUUAACACAGCAAGAUCAGUAAGACUCAAAAAGGCCUCUGUAACGCUUCUCUACUUAUAAAUUUCAACAUUGUCUUUGGAAUCACAGAAACAGGUAAGCAAACAUAAUUCAUUACCACAUGGUUAGGGCUGGGCGAUAAAAGGAUAACAAUAUAUGUCGAAAAUUAAUUUCCCUCAAUAUCAAUAUAAAACACGGUCAGUAUGCUUUUCGAUAGUCGGCAUUCUGACAUGUUUUGUAGACUAUAUGAAUAGCCAAUGAAAAGGGGAGUCGCUCCGGGUCCGCUUCAUGCUGAACCAAUCAUGUGCUGAAUUAUAAUCAAGUAGUGAACAACUGCGUAGUCGCAGGUUGCAGCUACAUGCAACCAUAACACUUCAACACGUGAAGCCGACAGCACUGUCAGUGAGAAAAAAAAGAAAAUGAGUGCUAUCCCUAUCGGAAAUGCAGAUGAAGGCUCAACAGAUGAUGAUAUCGUCAACAACACUGGCACAAAAACAUCUGUAGUAUGGCGGUAUUUUGUUUUUUGAGGUUUGACAUGAGGCAGAGUAAUGUACACUACAAAUUAUGUCAAGUACAUGUUCUCGCAAAGUUGUGGAAUACCUCAAAUCUUUUUCAACUCCUGAAGCAGUGCCGCACGGCAGAGCACGCGCAAUGCAAAAGGUUACAAACCCCGAGUGGAGCAAGGAGCCCAUGGUGCCUGUGCAGCCAAAACAACCAACCAUUCAGUCUGCUUUCUCUAGCUCAACGCCUUAGGACAAAACAUUGAAGAGACACAAAUAACUCACAGAUGCAAUAGCUAAUUGUAUUGCACAGGACUUGCUACCAAUAAGCACUGCUAAAUUUCAUUUUUUAUGUUGUGAUAUAUAUUGAUAUCAACUGAUAUGAAAAAGAUAUAUUGUGAUAAACUUUUUCCCAUAUUGCCCAGCCCUACACAUGACACUGCAGUCUUGUAUUUAAAGACAGGCACACAUCACUGACAGGUUAACAAUUAACUCUACCAUGUGAAUGACACCAAACCACUCUGUCUAAGCCUCUUUUUGUGUUAGUUUUGGUGUUGUGCCUCACACACACAGUUAGUGGUAUCAUGUUUGGGCAUGAGCAGUAAACAUCACAGAUUUCUUCCCCAGGUUAAAGGCUGUCCAAUAAAUGUGAAUAACAGGCUGAGCUAACAAACAUUUAAGGCCAUAAUUGGUGUCAUAAACAAGCUAACAAGGUGCUGCUCAUGUGUCAAACAGGUCAAUUGUCAUGCAGUCCCAGCUGACAACAGCCGUGACCUGUCAAAGAUGAGCAGCAGGGAGGAGCGUUAUAGACUGAAAGCUAAUUGCCCUGACUGAUAGUGUGAAAGGCCACCAGCCUUAGCAUGAGAGGCAGGGUCAAAAACAGACUGAAUUUCGGGUAGUACAUACAAAUACCUGUCUGUUUUUUUGGGGGGAUGGAAAACAACUCAAGGGAUUACAAGUACUAGCAACUAAAAGGUGAACCAGAACAGACAGACAGACAGGACUAACAAUAACCCUCUUUUUGAGAGUAGAUCAAAACAAAGAUGGAAGCUUUUGUCUAUAGCCAAGACAGCUACCGACAGGAAUGAGACUUUUUCACUAAAAUCACGUGGAGUUUGUCACCAGAAAGCUGCUGAAAAAGCAAGAGGAUUUAACAGUAAUAUGUGAUAUCGUUAUACGCUCAUAAUGGAAACCCAACAGUACUCAUAAAACAGAGAUGGUUUGAGAACUACGAUUAGGAGCCCAAAUGAAUGUUUUACUCUGAAAGACAGCUGAGUGUUUUACUAUUAUUUUUCAGUGUCUGAUUUCCUGUCUUGCUCAGUCUACCCUGUGCAGUGCUGGCGUUACUGAAAUAUAGGAGCUGUGUUUGUCUGCUGUAGGGGGAAGCUAAUCUGUACCAAAGUGGACUCUAACUGGUCCAAGACUGAACAGGAUCUGGUUGGAGUUCCCUGUUUCUGUCAUGGUGCUGCUAACCUGGAUAUGCUACAAAUUUAAAUUAAUUAUAAAUUAUGAACUUAAGUAAACCAGUGAAAUGUGAUAAUUGAGACUCUUAAAGAUCAGAGUCCUUAUCAAUACCAUCAUAGGCUGUAGUCUUUUCUGUACUGUUUUAAUUCACUCACUUGGCUAACUCACUUUUUUUUUUUAUCCUGCUGAUUUCAACAUGGACUUUAACACUGGAUCAUGCGUUUUAUACGAACAGAGGACUUGCUCUAAAGUCUGGCUGUGUUUACCCCAGCUGCUUUGGGUGCAGCUCUGCAGCAGCAACAGGAGCUGGAGUUGACUGAGUUGUUUUACCAGACAGGCAAAGGUUUUUCAUUUUGGCUUGAUUUGACGCACAAUGGUGAUGUGUUUGGCCAUGGAAAUUUUGUUUAUAUAUAUAUUUUGCAUCAGAAACAGCAUUUUAUUCCAUCUGUAUCUUCAGCUAUAAGCGGCUAUUAUGUAGCCACUCUUUGCACAUUCAGCCAUCUUCGCAAAUGACCAUUAAAAUUACUGUUCUGGUACUUCACCUGUUCCUGUUCAAAAACUUUAUUGUACAGUUUAUUAAUGUGCAACGUUGAUUUAAUCAACAUGACUUUACAGGACACUCCCAUUUUUUUUUUUUUUGGUUUUGAUAAAUGCUUUAUCAGGUGUUUAAUGGAUCCAUUUUUAAAAAAAUAUUUUUCUUUUUUUGUUAACUUUUUUAUUGCUUUUAAGGGGAAACAAGUACAGCAGUAUGAUAGAGAUAACAGGUACAUUGCAAUCCAAUUUAAAAAAAAAUAUAUAUAUAUAUAUAAAUACAUGGAAUUUGAAAAAAUAAAAAAAAUAUAUAAAAAAAUAUAAUAAAAUAAACAAGAGACCAGGCAGCGGCCCACUCCCCCAACUUGGAUCUCUCUUACAGGACAUGGGAGACCAUGAUUCAACAAGAAAUGCAAAUAAACAUGGUGUUUGGACCCAGUUAUUGAUACUCAUCCCCACUGAUAACACUUUGCUAAAAUAUAAUAAAAAAAAAUACAUAUACUUUGAUUUUUUUUCUUUCUUUCUUUUUUAUUUAUUUAUUUUUUACAUUUUUUUUAAAAAGUUUUUUGACAGUUUAUUAUGAGGUAAAGGUCUGAUCUAUGAUGGCCAGAAUUUCCUAUUUUAAAAAACUAUAUAUAUAUGUUUUUAUUUCUUUUAUCAUUUUCUGAACCCCUUUGAACUGUGUGAACAGUAGUACCUUAAAAGAGUUAUACGUAUAAAAUACCAUGAAGGCUUCAUUUCGGGCAGUGUAGGCAUUUGGAUUAGCAAACCUCACAGAUAAAGACCUCUUAUCCUCCCAGCGAAUCAUUCCUGGCUUCCUUUUGAUUCUUUGUGCUCUGGGACAGCUUGUAAUGGGUGUUUAGGAAAUCCUUUUCUGCUCUUAAUUACCUUUUUCGUUCCGUUGCAUUCAUUCCAACAAUGCUGAGAGAUGGGGGGGGAUGGGCUAAGAGUGAAUAAUACAGAGAGAGCGAGAGAGAAAGAAGGAGACGGAUGUCACUAUUCCGGGGGCAGCACAGGUGGUGAAAACAAGGUGUGAUCUUGGCAUGGCUGUCUGAGCAGAAGCUUGUCUGAAAUUACAUUGUUAAAGUGCAACAAACAAAGACACAUGCCCAUAGACAUUUAUACACCCAGACACACACUCACACACACUCACACGCACACACACACACCUUCGUGCAUGCCAAUUCAGAUAUAAUGCACGGAUGUCCUCUACGUUUCAUCAUCAAAGCCUUAUCAGGCUGCGCAGGGUCUGAAGGGGAGAAUAUGAACCGGAUAAAACAAAUCGUUUGAUGUGUGAAAGACAGACACUCCAGCUCCAAAGUACUUAAGCUUCUCCUCCCAAUGGACUGACAGGGGAUGAGGGUAGGAGCAAGGAAUGAGUGCUCCUCUCUUUUAUUCCCCUCCCCUUCUUUGCUCAUCAUGAGGAGUUUCCAAAGAGUUGCGUCAUUGUUUAUGCAAGGUCUCAGUGUCAGCACAAGCAAUGUCAAUUAAAUAAAUAAAUAAAGUCAAUAUUGACAGACAUUUCAAAGAGGUGGUGGAGCAGUCACAGACAGAGACAGGAGCCAUAGCGAAAGAUAAUAAGUGAGUGAACAUGAAACCUGAUGAGCAGGUUGAGUGUACGUUUGAAUAUCUGUAUGUGUGCUCGCGCUCGUGCGCAUUUCGGUGCAUGUGUGUGUUGAAUGAUGAGAGGAUGAGGAGCUAUGUUUGCAUGAUAAUGUUUCUGUCUGCCACCGCUUUGAUAUCAGCCCAACUCUGAAAACCUUUCUUAUUUUGAUAUUCUCCCGUUUUCAAAUUACUUUUGUAAAUCUUUUGAUACUCUCAGCUAUAUUGUCUGCUGUGCAAAUCACUCGUCGGAACAGAAGUCAUCCUCUUUUUGAAAUAUGGAUUUUCAUGGUCAUUAUUCACUAUCUUGUAAAGUGAAGCAGAUGGCAGAUCCAGCGUCUUUGUAGAUGUUAAAAUAUUCACCAAGCCACCAUUAAUUCUUUGAUUGUCUGGCUUGACAAAGGCCUUUUAACUCUGGUUAAUUUCCCUUCAAAGGAGUGGGGGCAUCUCAAUGAGUUAUGAGCAUGAAUAUGGCUCCUUUUCUUACUCUUUUAAGAUGAAAGGUACCCUUUGCCCCCAUGUCAACCACCCAGCACACCUGACCCUUUUAAAUUGAAGAAAGGGCUUUUAAUGUUAAAUAAGUCCCCCAUAGAUCGUAGCUUUUUAAAGCUAUAGAGGACUAAAAACGGAUUUGUUGGACAAUUAUAUACAUGCUGAUAAAUGUAAGUGAUCUCGUGAAUUUUGUAGAGCAAUACAAUUUGCCCAACAAUGCGCUUAUCCCUCUGAUAUAAAUGACUUGUUUCAUUCAUAGCUUAUGGUUCCCAUCUGCAGAAGCCACCUAGAAAUUUCAUUACGGACCAUGAAUACAAUUCUCAUGCAAAAUUACCAUAUCUGCAAAUACUCGCUAAUGAAGAGCCGAGGACCGGAAAGAUAAAGUGAUGAGAUGAGCUUUGUUGGGGGUUAUGAGCAAGUUGACCAGAUGCCAAGCCACCUGCUACAAGCAGCAAGACUUCAGCUAGAAAACAACGCAGAGCACACUGCGACGGCAACAAACAGGAGAGAAAAGACUCUCCAAUCUGGUCCUGUUAAGAUAAACAAAAGACUGUAUCAGAUUCAACAGGAAUCGAGACGUUUUAGAAAAUCCUCUUUUGUUCUACCCACAUUUCAUCCAUAUAAUAUCAGGAGUUGAAUUCUUGCAUCAUGCAUGUGCUGAAAACAGGACAAAAAUGACGGCCUCUUUUAAAUCUAUUUGUAACAUCUGUUUGGAGGAAAACAGCACAAGUUUCAAGCUUCAGGGUUGACUCCUGGGGCCAGUGGCUCACCGCUGUUAUGCACAAUAAUGUUGCUCUUUUAAAGCUGCUGUUUCUGCCUGACUAAUGGUUUAAAUAAUAUUAAAACCUCCAAACAAUAGGAAGUCCACUGAUUGAUAAAAUCUGAAAUUACCCUGUAUUUCAUUCAAAACAUGUAAUUAAUAUUUGUGAUUAAUGGAGAAAAUGACUCAAUGGUUAUUCCCAUUAAAAUACCAUGAGUGUCCACUAUACAAAACUGUAGGCAAAUCCAAAAUAAAGUGUUUUAUCCUCAUUCUAACUCUGGAAACAGGGUGAUCACAAUAUCUGAGUUCUUAAAGCAAUUUUCUGGCGUAAAAUUAAUUUUGGAUUUAACACACUGCAACACCGAGUUAGACACCCCCUCGAGAGAUGAAUGUUGCCAAUGGCUUGCUUCUCUAGUUAUACUAACCUUAGUAACGACCGCACGAUAGCAAUACACAGCAGUCUACUUCUCCAAAUGCAAACUUCAACCAAAAUGCCACUCUAUAGUCACAAAUAAUGCUCAGAAAAGUAAUUUCAUCAACAGUACAUAUAAGGUCCCAGCCAUAGUACUAGCCAUCAAACAUCUUUGUUACUUUGCCUAAUUUAUUUAGCAAAGAGACUAAACACAACUCACCUACUCUCUUCCAGCAUCCACUUGUUUGUAGCGAGACCUCAGGCCAAACCAUUAUGAACUGCUGCGGGGUGACGCAGCUCAAGGAAGAACAUUUAUGAAAUGCAAUCAGACUGAGACGCCAAGGCAGAAGAACUACCGUGUCUGCAGUGAAAAAUGAUUAAUAUGGUGAUUAUUACUUUAAGGAAAUGAUAAAGAAAUGAUUGUUACUAAAGUCGUUAGUUGGUAUAACUAAAGAGGCAUGCGGUCAGAAACAUUAAUCUCUCGAGGAGGUGUCUAACUCGGUGUUACAGUGUAUUUUGACCCCAAAUCAAUUUUACGCCGCAAUUAUCCCUUUAAAUUCAGAAUGAUAACAGUAGAAAGAUUAAAUCACGAUGGACUGAAAAAAAACAAGGUCAUAUUCUGGUCAAAAAUAAUGUUCAAAUAUUCACUUUUAAGUCUUCAAACCAUCGAAGCAUUGUUUUCUCACUUGGAUUGACUAAUUAAUUGAUCACAUGCUCAAUGCUUUCUUUCAUUAUUCAUUUUCAUCUAUGAAGUCAGAACAAGCAGAGCAGAGUGGAUCAGUAAAUCAAUGUCAGUUUCUAUAAACCUUAUCCCCAUCAGUUUGUCAUAGUCUGUAACACUGACCGAUGCUGAAUGCUGUAAUUCACCGGUGCAUAUCACACUCUGGUUAUCCAAACCCUCCUUUUAGCUCUUUACAAUGUGUUACAUACCAGAGUAGUUGGCAAAACAUGUUGGCAAGAAGCUAACAAUGAAAACACUGUCACUUUUACAGCUCUGUAACAUUUGCUAGGAAGGUUUUGUCUUCUUUACAUCCUUUCUUCAUCCAUCCAGACUCUGUUUACCGGCUUGUGGUUAGAUGACACACUGCCAGCAUCUUUUGUAUAUUUGUGAUUGUUUUUAGAUAUCUAAUAAAAAAUUGAGGAAAAAGUAACAGCCUUUUGCAGAGGGAUGCCAAGAACAAGUACAUGACAUUUAUACAAUGUAUGCCAGGUACAAAAGAAUAACACAGGGGGAAAAUGUUCAAAUGAAAAUAAAAGAUAGAGCUGCUGAAACUGAAAAUGUAUUGGCUACAAAUUUAAAAGAAAAAGAUAAAUAUGCUUUAUAGCUUUUAGAUGGGAUAAAAGAUUGAAAUAAGAUGCAUGUUAAGUCUAAUAUUUUAAAUAACAGUCAGUAACAUGAUUUUAAAUUGUUUAAAAUAAUUUUCUGUCUCAAGUGGUUUAAAUUCUGAGAUAGAGAACCUACAGGUAUUUUUUUUUAUUUGAUCAGGCAGAUCGUUGCAGUGACUGAAAAACAGCCUUCUUUGCUUAAACUGCUGUAAACAUCUUAAUGAGGUCAUAUUCACCACUGAGUUUUCUAGGUUUAAUUGGAUGUAUGCAUAAACACAGUAACAACAUUGGGCAGUAGAUGCACUCUCGUACCUCAUCUUGGGUAGAGUUUAUCCUGCAGACUCGUAAGACGUGCAGCCACUGUGGUCGUCUGUCCUUAUCUCAGUUUUCAUGACUUGCCUUGACCUGUGAAUGAAUCCAGAGAAAUGUUUGGGAAAAGAUACUGUCAUUUAAACAAUCUGAAGUAAUUAAAGAAAACAAAGAUUCAUCAUUUCAUUUGAAAUGGGUGUGCUCUUUUGUUCAUGAUUACUUGACUUCUUAAAGGUAGGGUUGGUUAUCACGGUAAACUAGCAUGAAUUUGAGUGUAACAUCUCCUCAGGACUCUGUCUAGCCCCUCCCCCCUCCCCUUUGAGCUCCUCCAAAACAUUGGCCUUGCUCACAUGCACGAGCGCUGCGGUCUGCUGAUUCAAAAGCACAGAUUAAAAACUUUGGGACUUUAGAUUGGGAAGUCUUUGCACAGCAGGGACAAAGAAGGUAAUGUUAGCAUCGGGAUGACCACAUAACUAGCAACAUUGCUAAAUACUUGAUCAAGAUUAAGAAUCGCCCUGAAACAAACCCUCAACAUACUUUUCCAACAGAAAAUGAGCGACCAUGGCAGCACUUUUCAAGCCCUUGACCUCUUUCAGUUCUCUCCAUCGCCAUAAAGCUGUCCCGAUGUUGACUUUCCUUUUCGGCCUUGGUUUCUCCAAACUCUGUCUUGCUUCAGCCCUCUCUGCCUCCAUCUUUCUUUCCCUGCUCUUUUUUUGCAGGAGAAACGGUCACCAUUAAUCAGGGUAGAGGUAGUCUCUCUGCCAUUCUCAGCUCGGCUAUGCACACUGGAUCAGGGCCAGUGCUCCCCAGCGACAUGUACGCACAGGAGGCGAGCACAAGAUUUGAUUGGUUUAAAAAUGUGGGACCCACAGGAUGUGAUUGGUUGGUGUUUUUCCCACUUUUACUCCUGCUGUAGAUAGUGGCUAUGUUUCACUCUUUUUAAGAACACAUCUUGAUUGGAACAUAAAGAUCAUUUUAAUCAGAAAAAGGAAAAAAAGUGUCUAAAUCAGAUUACCAACCCUAGCUUUAACUGAGAGCAUUUGGGAUUACUGCCCAAUUAACAUGAACUUGACCAAAAUGUAGGAAUCCAGAAGUACGUAGCUGGUGUUGUAGGUAGGUAGGUAGGUAGGUUGGUAGGUUGGUUCUUGCAUGAAUGUGGAGCCUCUCUAGAUCAUUAUGAAGAUUGAUUGAUGUGCUUCAUAUCAGGACAAUCUUGAGCAGAAUUUCUCUCAUUUAAAAAGGUGCGUCCACGUAUAUCGACAUGUAAAAUAAAAUAUCUCAGUGUCAUAUCUUGAAGUAUAUGAGUGCAGUGUAUAAUGGGUGAAUCUGCAGCAUAUCAUCACUCUUCAUCAGUGAAGCAUUAAAAUACCGAGCUGACAUCAGAAAUGUAAUGUGCGUGGCAUUCAGUAUGGCAUCAGUCAUACAAAAUAUCUGAACUGCAUAUUCUGAUGGUUUUAAGUGGCCCAUCUCCUGGAUCCGACGGUAUAGUAUAUGUCACAGAUAUGGUAUUUUAAUAUUCUGUGGGUGGAAAAUAUCCAGUUUGAAUUUCAUCAUAUAUGAGUCUUGCUCAAAAAUAUGAAGGGGGAAAAAAACAAGCUCUCUGGAUUCUGAGGAUUUCUCUGCAGAGCCUUUUCUUGCAGAGAUUUGAAUCGAACAGGUAGAGCUAGGAGUGUUAUUGGUGGAGCUCACCUGUUUUUGCUCGAUCCAUGUAGGCAAGACAGAGAAAGGUUUAUAGAGGCAAAGCUAGAAAGCUGUUAAACUUAUGUGAUAUGAAUGUGUUGCCAAUUUGUAAAGACUGCUGCAUAUGAUUUAAGAAAGACUACCUGCAGACCAGUAUGCACUUAUAUUUUAUAAUUAUUGUAAUUAUAAAUCUCAACAGGAAAAUGAAUCAAAGUAUUAAAUCCAGCAUGUGUUCGUCAGUGGCUUUUUCUGCUCCUGUGUGUCUUAUUAUGUCUGUCAUUGACUCAAGGUAAAAUAGAAACACAGAGGCAGGAAGACUUCUGUCUCACACAGCUGAGGUUUGCUUGUUUGGAUGCUAUUUAUACCCUUGACUUCUGAAUGCUUUUUCGAAUGUUUACCGGUACAAAAUGAAGCACUUCAUUUCCUCAAGCAUAAGUGUCCAUGCAUAUUUUUUUGUUGUUUGGGUCUUGCUUCCCUGUUCAAGCUAUCUGUGUGUUUGAAGUGUAAAUAAACAGUUAAGUGAACAGGAAAGUGUCCUGAACAAGUCUGUACUGCCACUUCACAAAGGCAUCAAAAGGAGCAUAAUUGUUGUUGAUUUUUUUUCGCAGAGCACAUUUACAUAAAAACUGCCUUUUUCUCAACUUUAUAUGUUGUCGGUCUUGGUUCUUUUGAGUUUCUGAGUACUAUUCGAAGAGUCAAAGGAACUGAGGCAGCACUGGCAUGGUGUUAGGGUCAGUUGAGGAUAUAAAGCAUAUUCUCUCAUCUUUUACAUUGAAGUGGUUGAUGUCAACUUUUUGAAAAGACAAGUACAGAGAAUUCAUCUACAUCUUUUCUAUUGGACUCUAUAUUCAUUUGAAGUAUUCAGAUGUUCCCACUUUUGUUGGUAGACCUUCUUUUGCAUCUCUGUUAGCAGAGUCAAUCAGGUUGUGCACAGGGACAGUUGAGAACAUAUCAUGACAUACAAAAGGCUGUAUGUAUUUCUUUAUACCUACUUCUUUCACUUAUUCUCCCUGCCUCCUUCUGUGGAUGCACAGGGUGAACUUAUCUCCCAUUUGCUUAUGACCCAGGUCGGCUCAUUUAUCCUAUUCAGGAAGCCAGAGAUUGAUUGUCCCUGUGCCAUCGCUGUAAUUAUACUGUCAUCACUUAAUCAACCUUAUUGGAUUCCUCAAGCGGUCGCAGUCCCUGAGGCUGGCGCUAGGAGAAAGAUUGACUUUUUUGGACAGCUAGAGAAUGAGAGGGAGAGUGAGAAAGGAAAGGAUUGAGAGAGAGGAAGAGACCAAAUUAAGCAUAGACUCAUUUGAGAGGCAAAGUAAUGGGGUAAUGAGUACAGAGAGACAUCAAAUAAGUGAACAAAGGAGGCAAAGAAGUGCUACAGCUACAGAGGGAGGGUGUCAAAGAGGAGCGUGGGGACAAGGAAGCGGUCAGGAGAGAAGCACGCAGGACUGAGAGGGGGAUCAGGUGGGAGGGUGCGGCCGUAGACUGUGAGUGAUUGUUUCCUCAAGUCCGUGUCUGCCCCGCCAGGGAGGAGGUAACAAAUGUUUAAGGUGUCACCUGCAAAAGCAGUUUAAUAAUUCAUUUGUCUAUGGGGCUGGGUAGGAAGGGCUGCUUUGAAGAGUGGGGCACAGAUGGUCAUCAGAGUGAAAGAGAUGCACACACCUAUACCCAUGCACCUCCACAUAUGCACAAAAAAGACCUGCACUUGCGAGGGGCUCAUCACCUGGGUGCACACCAUAUGUCACUGUGGCUGACAACCUGCUCUCUGGGCCCAUGCUGAGAAAUGCACACAAACACACAUGCCUAUGCACACACACACAUCUUUGCUAUUUCAUAACUGCUUAGCUUUUCUAUGGCAAAAAAAAGUCUUCCUUGCAUACUGAUGUGACAUGUGUUUAUGUGGGCUGUGAGGAUCAGAAUUUUACCAGCUGAUAGAAAUACCUGAUGGGGUAUCUUCACCUACACACCGAGCCACAUCAGUGCACACGUACCUCAGUCAAAUGCAGGAAACACUCACAGCGAGGCACCCACACACGCUCAAGAGGGUGUGACGUGGAACAUAGACUGUCAAUCCAUCAUUGUGUGAAAUUACCCAUCGUAACGACAGCAUUCCCUCUUUUGCCAUUUCACAUCUGACUAAGCCCAAUCCAAACACUGAAUCAGCCCUUAAAUCUAAUGAUGCAACACCAACUGUAACAACAAAAAAAAGAAGCCCUGCAUACUGCUAUCUUUAAGGACACACACUUGCCCUCCAAGCCACUAAAACAGCAGCCCACCUUUCAUUCAAUUACUGUACUGACUUUAAUGGUUAUGAGUUCUCCUUUUUGCGCCUGGCAUGCUUUAUUCCUCUCCCUGUGUGGCUUGCAGGUGAUUACUUCAAGGCAGUAAAGGUUUCGUGGGGGGUACUGCAGUUUGCAAGCAGACACUACAAGAAGAUUCGUUGUUUGAUGGGAACUUAGAGGAUUUAGGUAUUUCUACUGCAGUGCAUAGGGAAAGUAAGAAAGAUGUCUGUAUACAUUGUGUACAACCAAUUUGUAUAUGUCAUGUAAAUGUGCAUUCAUUGACUUGUUGACCUCCACCAGGUGUUUCUUGGAGUGUGAUAAAUAAGCAGCACCCUCCCUGCGCUCUUAAAUCUCAUGCAACUCAACUUUUAGUUUAGGUAUGAUGGCUGUCACAUUAAAAAAAGAAUAAAAAAGUAGAGUCUCAGCAAAUGUGAAUUGCUGUAGAUAAGAGUCUUUUUAGGAUGCAGUCAUAUGUGAGCACCCUGUUUAAGACCCUUUCAUUGGAUUCACUUUACAAGCAAGAUAUCUACAUGUAUGGCUGAGACACUGCAUUCAAGUCAAUUAUACUGCACAGGAUUUGCUUUCCAUGGAUCAAUGUAAACGUUACCCUUAACAGGAAUAUAAAGAGCAUCUUAAUGAAUCUGGGCGAGCCUAAGGUAUGAUAAAUUCCACGGAUUGUGGUUAGCAUGAUCCAUUAUUUAUACCACUUAUUCUAUUUGGGGUCAGGGGGGAUAAGGCCAGCUACCAUUAGAUGAGAGGUAAGGUCCAGUCUAUCACAAGGCCCUGCAAGAAGUUGUGAAAUUACACUUUUCAAUGGAGAAGUACAGGUUGUAAACUGGCCUGUCUGAAGCACUCAUUUCAUUAUGUAUUAUAUAUAUAUAUAUAUAUAUAUAUAUAUAUAUAUAUACACUCACCGGCCACUUUAUUAGGUACACCAUGCUAGUAACGGGUUGGACCCCCUUUUGCCUUCAGAACUGCCUCAAUUCUUCAUGGCAUAGAUUCAACAAGGUGCUGGAAGCAUUCCUCAGAGAGCUUGGUUCAUAUUGACAUGAUGGCAUCACACAGUUGCCGCAGAUUUGUUGGCUGCACAUCCAUGAUGCGAAUCUCCCGUUCCACCACAUCCCAAAGAUGCUCUAUUGGAUUGAGAUCUGGUGACUGUGGAGGCCAUUUGAGAACAGUGAACUCAUUGUCAUGUUCAAGAAACCAGUCUGAGAUGAUUCCAGCUUUAUGACAUGGCGCAUUAUCCUGCUGAAAGUAGCCAUCAGAAGUUGGGUACAUUGUGGUCAUAAAGGGAUGGACAUGGUCAGCAACAAUACUCAGGUAGGCUGUGGCGUUGCAACGAUGCUCAAUUGGUACCAAUGGGCCCAAAGAGUGCCAAGAAAAUAUUCCCCACACCAUGACACCACCACCACCAGCCUGAACCGUUGAUACAAGGCAGGAUGGAUCCAUGCUUUCAUGUUGUUGACGCCAAAUUCUGACCCUACCAUCCGAAUGUCGCAGCAGAAAUCGAGACUCAUCAGACCAGGCAACGUUUUUCCAAUCUUCUAUUGUCCAAUUUCGAUGAGCUUGUGCAAAUUGUAGCCUCAGUUUCCUGUUCUUAGCUGAAAGGAGUGGCACCCGGCGUGGUCUUCUGCUGCUGUAGCCCAUCUGCCUCAAAGUUCGACGUACUGUGCGUUCAGAGAUGCUCUUCUGCCUACCUUGGUUGUAACGGGUGGUUAUUUGAGUCACUGUUGCCUUUCUAUCAGCUCGAACCAGUCUGGCCAUUCUCCUCUGACCGCUGGCAUCAACAAGGCAUUUCCGCCCACAGAACUGCCGCUCACUGGAUAUUUUUUCUUUUUCGGACCAUUCUCUGUAAACCCUAGAGAUGGUUGUGCGUGAAAAUCCCAGUAGAUCAGCAGUUUCUGAAAUACUCAGACCAGCCCUUCUGGCACCAACAACCAUGCCACGUUCAAAGUCACUCAAAUCACCUUUCUUCCCCAUACUGAUGCUCGGUUUGAACUGCAGGAGAUUGUCUUGACCAUGUCUACAUGCCUAAAUGCACUAAGUUGCCGCCAUGUGAUUGGCUGAUUAGAAAUUAAGUGUUAACGAGCAGUUGGACAGGUGUACCUAAUAAAGUGGCCGGUGAGUGUAUAUAUAUAUAUUUAAAUAUAUAUAUAUAUAUAUAUAUAUAUAUAUAUAUAUAUAUAUAUAUAUAUAUAUAUAUAUAUAUUAUGUACAAAAGGUCAUGCUUUCAAAUGACCUAUUAUCAUUCAAACCUAACAUGACUAUAUGUUGAGCUAAAGGAAUAAAUGAGGGGCUUUUGAUUAGAGAAUGAAACAGAGAGGAUAGGCAACUUUGAGUGCAAACUCAGGCUGACCUACCAGGCCCAGACAGGUUAUAGUACAUACUCCAGUCGACAAGCACCAUUACCCUGUGGAUCUGUGCAGCUUAAGAGAGGGCACAGAGGAGCAGUGAGGAGGAGAGGGGUUAGAGAGAAGCUCCAAGAGUUAAACCCAGCAGAGAAAAGAAGGGGCAAAAAAGAGGACAAAAAAAACGUUCAAACUGUGUUUCUGAAUGAGGACUUGGGUCAUGUUCACUAACAUGCAUUUUCUAACACAGUGGUUAGCCCUAGCACUCUCUUUCAUAACAUGUAGUUCCCUAUUACCCCACCAGAACAUUGUGGUCCCAACAUGCAGGCCUGCUUAUCAUACCUAGAGUCUUUAAUAGUGGUCUGGGUGAUAGUGCUUUCAGUUAUCAGGCCCCUCUCCUCUAAAAAUCAUCUGCGAGUCGAGGUGCAGACACCCUCUCUCAAGGGUUCCUCUUUGAUAAAACUGAUAGAGCUGCUUCAGGUCUAAACCAGGGCCUGCAUAAGGGCCUGGUCUGACCUGAACCAGCUUUAUCAGCUUUAUCAAAGAAAUAGACAGCAGCUAAAACUAAGUGUUUCAGACAGAAGCUGAGAUAAUGAUAUUCUAAUACAACAGGUUGAGAAAUUUGAGGGGUUUUUUUUUUAGAUCGGAGGUAUCAGAGUGGAAAUAUACACUCACCGGCCACUUUAUUAGGUACACCUGUCCAACUGCUCGUUAACACUUAAUUUCUAAUCAGCCAAUCACAUGGCGGCAACUUAGUGCAUUUAGGCAUGUAGACAUGGUCAAGACAAUCUCCUGCAGUUCAAACCGAGCAUCAGUAUGGGGAAGAAAGGUGAUUUGAGUGACUUUGAACGUGGCAUGGUUGUUGGUGCCAGAAGGGCUGGUCUGAGUAUAUCAGAAACUGCUGAUCUACUGGGAUUUUCACGCACAACCAUCUCUAGGGUUUACAGAGAAUGGUCCGAAAAAGAAAAAAUAUCCAGUGAGCGGCAGUUCUGUGGGCGGAAAUGCCUUGUUGAUGCCAGAGGUCAGAGGAGAAUGGCCAGACUGGUUCGAGCUGAUAGAAAGGCAACAGUGACUCAAAUAACCACCCGUUACAACCAAGGUAGGCAGAAGAGCAUCUCUGAACGCACAGUACGUCGAACUUUGAGGCAGAUGGGCUACAGCAGCAGAAGACCACGCCGGGUGCCACUCCUUUCAGCUAAGAACAGGAAACUGAGGCUACAAUUUGCACAAGCUCAUCGAAAUUGGACAAUAGAAGAUUGGAAAAACGUUGCCUGGUCUGAUGAGUCUCGAUUUCUGCUGCGACAUUCGGAUGGUAGGGUCAGAAUUUGGCGUCAACAACAUGAAAGCAUGGAUCCAUCCUGCCUUGUAUCAACGGUUCAGGCUGGUGGUGGUGGUGUCAUGGUGUGGGGAAUAUUUUCUUGGCACUCUUUGGGCCCCUUGGUACCAAUUGAGCAUCGUUGCAACGCCACAGCCUACCUGAGUAUUGUUGCUGACCAUGUCCAUCCCUUUAUGACCACAAUGUACCCAACUUCUGAUGGCUACUUUCAGCAGGAUAAUGCGCCAUGUCAUAAAGCUGGAAUCAUCUCAGACUGGUUUCUUGAACAUGACAAUGAGUUCACUGUACUCAAAUGGCCUCCACAGUCACCAGAUCUCAAUCCAAUAGAGCAUCUUUGGGAUGUGGUGGAACGGGAGAUUCGCAUCAUGGAUGUGCAGCCGACAAAUCUGCGGCAACUGUGUGAUGCCAUCAUGUCAAUAUGGACCAAGCUCUCUGAGGAAUGCUUCCAGCACCUUGUUGAAUCUAUGCCACGAAGAAUUGAGGCAGUUCUGAAGGCAAAAGGGGGUCCAACCCGUUACUAGCAUGGUGUACCUAAUAAAGUGGCCGGUGAGUGUAGACUCUGAAAAGAAACGCAUAAUACCCCCCUUAAAUCGUUUGGGAUAACAUAAUGUAAAUAAAGAUUGAUUUAGUUUUUGAUUGCUUUAAUGUAUGAUGAGAAAUAUGAUGAGAAAUAUUCCUAUUCAUACAAAGGUCUCAAAAUCUGUCAUCUAUCUAGAAAAAUAAUUCAGGUCCAUUUUGAUGUCUUUUAACAGCUCAUCAUCUUGUCCUGAAUGCCACCUCAGCUCAAAGUUCUGAGAAUGAUCUGUUCAAUGUUUGAACAGACAUUAACAAUACAUAAGCAUUGGUGGAGCGUCAUUGUUCACGUGUUAGUCUGAUGAUGCUUAUGAAAAGCAGGGAGAAGUUAACUUGUUCACCCAGGCAGUAUUCUCAUCGAACAGAGGCACGAGUUAUUAGAUAGUUGAUAUUCACCAACUGUUGCAGCUGCAAACAUUUAGUGAAUUUUCCCACUGUGGAGCUUUGUGUGUGUGUUUUUAUCCCACUCCUUGGUCUGGAGUAUAGUCACACUGGUCACAUAACCUGACUGUAUCCUGUUAGAAUGAAAGCCAACCUCUGUCGUUCUGACUCACCAGCUAUUUGUGACAAUAAUAUAAGUAUUUUAUGUAUUUUAUUCCUAUUAUAAAUAUGUAAUCACCUAAAGUAUGUUUAAGUUGUCUAAUUAUAACCAAACAGGUUGAAACUGAGACAUGAGUGUGCUAAAUGUUUACCAAAUAAAUAAUUAAACAUGCCGUAUUUCACUGUGACAGCGAGGGGCAAUGCAAGAGACAGGUGGACAAAGUGAAUGUGAAUAGGAGCACGUGUAGACAUGAAAUGAAAGCAGGAUAUUUGAUCACGGGCUCUAAUGUUACUCUGUAACUGUGAGGUCUAUUGAUGUGUGGAAUAAACUGGAGACUGUCUGACAGAAACAAACGCUGACAGAAUUUGUCCCAUCUGAUUGGUUCCUCCGCGGAUUGAACAUGCAUCCAGAGAUUAGUGUAUUAUUUCAGUCACAGGUGACAGUCGAGACAUCCUCAUCUGCAGCUGAAACAUGUAAUGCAAGAAGACUUAUUUUUCUUCUUUGGCUGUUUUGGAAGUAUCUGGUUAAGCUUUAGCAUCACAAGAUAUAGCACAAGAUCCCAUCACACCCAUACUUAUUAGUAAAACGUGUCAUUGUGUAGUCACCUGAACAGAUUUGUUAACUGAAAAUGAGCCAUUUAUGACUAAAAAAGAGUGGGAGGGGAGGCCCCCCAUCUUGCAGAGUGAUGCUACCAUGGUAGAACAAACUGAUCAUGUAGAAAUGAGACAGGGUACAGCUUAUUUUUUAUCAUUGAGCGCCCAUAAAAUACAUGAGAUGGAAUUAAAAAGGUAAAUGUUUAUAUUUGUCUUCCUCUAGUUUUCUGACCACUCAAAGUGCUUUUACUUUGUCACAAUCAUCCAUUUGAGAUUUGAGAGACUUGAGCUUUAUUUACAGAUAUAAAUUUUUACAUGCAUUAAUGAACACUUACAUGUAAAUACAUGAAAUCAUAGCCAGGUGGCUAAUUCCCACCCCUAGUCCCAUUAGCAGGUUGGUGUCAACACAUAAAACAAAAACAAACAUCACACAUUCACACUCUGAUGGUAGAGGCUAAUGUGUAUAUAGAGCCCAUCAGUUUCUGACUUACUUUACUCACACGCCGCUGGUCCAGCCCUGGGGCCUCAUGUAUCAACACUUGCGUGGAACUCAUACCAGAAACGAGCGCACGCAAGGUCCGUCACGCUGAAAAAAAUCUGUAUGUAUCAAUGUGUGCGGGCGCCGAAAUCCACGUGUGUUUCCUUGAUAAAUCCCAAUCAGCCUGGAAUUGAGCGCAGAUGUCGGAGUGACUGGGCCCGUCCCCGUUACGCCCUCCUAUAAAUAUGCAGAUUUAUUUAAAUAGGGUCUCCCUGUCCUCGCACGCAGACAAAAUGACAAGAAAAACUACAUUUACGGCGUGCGAGGUGGAGGUGCUGGUGGCGGAGGUGGAGGAGCGACAGCGUGUUUUGUUUGGCAGCCUGUCCAGUGGCGUCAGUGCAAAAUGAAAACGCUUGGAGUGGGAGAAAUUUUGCGAGAGGGUGAAUGCGGUGGGUUCCGAGACAAGCACCCCCGCGGAGAUUUAAAAAAAGUGGUCGGACCUCAAGGUGGAGGUCAAGCGGCGUACAGCUGCCCUCCGGAGGAGUACCGGCCAGACAGGUGGGGGUCCGGGGGAGGAGACCCUCACGCCGUUUGAGCAGCGGGUGGUGGCGAUUAUUAUUAUAGGGUAAGUGGCGUGUCACACAAAUGUCCACAUGCUUUGUCAUCCCACUGAGCAAAAGACGUAUAUUAGACGUCUAGUCUAAGUUUAUACUUCAUUUCAACGUCGGGAUUCAGUCUAUUUUUAGACGUGAUUUAUACUUCGCCCUUAACUUCAUUUUUCGAUAACUUUUUAUGCAAUAAACAACUGUAAUGUGCAUAACUGACCUCUAAAUACUGGAUUACAUUACCUAUGAUACCGUGGAGAGAGAUGUAAACGCAACAGAUACACAGAAGCAGGAAUUGAAAUGAACUAAUAUUUUUAUUGUGUCACAGAAAUCAAUAUGUCGGCCGUGUCGCCGGCUUGCGGAACCCCGGCCCGCGGCAGCCCGUCCGCCGGCUCGGAGUCGUCGGCCAGGACCAGCGGCAUUCGGGCCACCCCGGCCCCCGGCCCCAGCACCAGCACCAGCAUCAGCACCAGCGCGCCAACAAGCGGUGGAGCGUCCACCAGCCGCGGCGCUUCCGCUGGACCAUCCGGACGCAGUGGAAGGGUCCUCGCGGAGGGGGUCCUGCAAUCGCAGGAAGAAAUCAUCAGGGGGAUCGCGGGGAUCAACGAGCGGCUGGACCGGCUCGUAAAUGUCCUUGAGCGUCUGGUGGAGAAAAUAAAUUAAUUUGGCUCAUUGAACUGUCUAUUCACUUCUUACCCAUUCACACUGUGGCGAUGAGAUUCUCCCGCCCGAGGACGGCGGCCCGGCAGGGAUCAGCUCGCAUCCCUCCGUCUGCUGCUGGUUCGUCAUGUGGGGCGACGUGCUGCCCGCCCACGGGGAUGUGGUGCACGCUUGUCACAUAGUGAGUCACCAAACACCGCCACACAGCGUCGCCAAAGUGCGAAUCACAGUCAACGCAAGUAUCGGCUCAACGCCAAUUUCUACACCACCUCCUGACUUUGCGUUGAUUAGCGCUGGAACCGACGCUCGUUUCGCGAUGAUAAAUCUGGACGUGUGCGCCGAUUUUGGCGUACGCAAGGUUUUCUUGCGCCGCAAGCGUUGAUACAUGAGGCCCCUGGUGUCUUGCCCAAGGACAUUUCAACAUGUGGACAGCAUGACCUGGUAACAAACCUCCAACCUUUGAGAGAUGAUUAGCAAGAGAGCAUUUUGAAAAGAAUCAGAUUUCACUAAAUGUUAUUAUUUCUACAUGUUGUACCUUUGACUCCUUGUUAAAUUAUUCUUUCAUUAUACGCUCUACUAAAAACCAAAACAAAUUCAGGGUUACAAACCAUAAUAUGCCCUUUGGAGUUCAUUCUUAGUAAACCAAAAAGUAUUCGUAAUUGGCCAAUUUAUUAGUCAAAAUAAUGAAAUGUAAAGGUCAUAUUUAAUGCGUUUUAUAGGCUGGAAUGAGACAAGCUUUCACAUUAAAAUGCUUUGUAUAAUUUUUUAAAAUGAACUUUUGAAUGAAGUUGGUUUGAUUUACAUGUAUUUCUUUUUUGUUAGUUUGUUCCUUUUGAACAGGUGAACAUGUAGAGAUGCAUUCCUAAGAUUCAGCCUUUAUGGGGAAGGACUUGUGGCUGUAUUUUACUUUUUUUUUUUUUUCUGUACAUGCAGUAAAAGGACUAUAAUCCUGUCUGCCUUCUCUUACUUUGGCUUUUCUCAUGCUCACCUGCUACAACAUGAAUUAUCUUUUCCCUCCAUACCUCUUACCUGUACUAUACCUGUAACAUGACUUGCGCAGGGACACAGGCUCUUGAUAGCAACAAAGUAAAAUCAUAGGUACAGGUUUGGUGAGACGGGAGUGUGGAGAAAAGAGGAUGUCAGAGUCUCACAAUCAACAGUGACAAGCAAUCACUGUGGAGUUUUAUGAAAGUAGACCCUAAGUGUGGAGGAGACAAGACUGAAGAGUGAUAGAUGACUAGGCUGAAGUAAGGAGGAUGAAAAGGAUGCAUUGAUGACAUGAUUUCAGUAGGAUGAGGAGAUGGACCUGAUGAGACUUAAUGGGAUAAGAUACAAUGGCAGCAGAAGAGGAUGUGUUCAAAAGUGACUGAAGAGGAGGCUGAGUGUGCAAUGAAGCAAAACAGAAGGAGGCAGGUGGUGGUUAGCAGCAGACACAGGGCUAGGUGAGUGUACAAGAUUGAUUGGUGAUUGCUCUUGGAUUUCGUGGCACAGAGAGUGGAAGCCGUAAAGAGCAAGAGAAAGAGAGAGAGAGAGAGAGAGAGAAUUGUAAAGAAGAGGGAAUAUAAACUCCCAGAUGCCAGGUAUUUUUCCUACCGAGCGGCGAGACGACAGGAGUCUAAUGAGUUCCCUCAUAGCAGCAAGGGUUCCUUCGUAUGAAUCACACAAACAGUCUUACACACACACACACUCUCGCACGUAAGCUCGCGCAGUUGUAAUGAAUUACAGAGCCCUCAGCCUAAAACCUUGGCCUCGUACCUCAUCACAUGAUACCCACAUACGUCUUGUAGCUGCAAGGAUCGAUCUGUCCACAGCCAUUUGACACGAAUACACAUGGAAUCGAAUUCUACAUGACAUAUUCCAUCACCUGCUGUACCCUUGAAUCCCUACCAACAUCCUCCGGAGAAUCAUUCACACAAUGGACAUCAAUAUAUUGACGCAGUCUAAGCAAACCAUGAAGCUCUGCUUUGUCUCCUGAAGUUCAGUUUAUCAGCUUGAGAUAAAAUAAUAUUUGGCCUAAAUUAAAGUAAAUCUGACGCCUUCAUUUGGUCUUGUGAUUUCUGUGCACUUGCAGGCUGCCUGGGUGUCGCUGGUUCACGCCUGAAAAUGACUCAAGAUUACCUGCUGGAUUUCUUAAUUAGAAGAAGAAGCACAAGGCGGUGAAUCACAAUGACACAGACCUCUCCUGAAAAACAUCCAAAUGCUCAGAUCCAGCCAUCGGCAUGCACAAAGCACCAUUAUCCAAUUUUUUAAGUUUUGCUUGCACAAAAAAUAAAUGCUAAUGAGCAUCAGCUCUGUAAUUUGUAAUUAUAAUCUAACCAGCAAAUGAGGUGGUUGUUGACUAAAACUUUAACCUCUCAAACCUGAUUAUUAUCAUAUAAUUAUGCUUAAAAUCACAAUUAUUGAGAUUUCACUCAGUAUUUUAAAACAACCAAUCAGUUCGUCCCUGCAUACAUGUGUUUUGAGCAGAGAAGCUAUGCCAAUUACAUUUAUUAAAACGUUGGAAAUGAUCAGCUUUUUUAUGUUGGUGUUGAAGGCUGCAUAAUGCAGAGCACACAAGCAAAUUACUGCAAGACCUCUACUCUUAGAUUUGACAAACGGACUCAGGAGUCAUUAAUAAAAAUACAGCUUUUAAAAGGAAAAGAAUAGCUUAAUGAUGUCUGAAACCAGGAAAACCCUCAUGUGGCCUCGGCACUACAGCACAGGUUAGGUCUCGUAAAAGGUUCACUCAACUGCAGAUUUUGGAAAUAGAGAUUUAACAUCUCACUGGCACAAAAGGAGGCGCUACAUGCACAGAGCGGGAUUAUAAAUAAGAUAUGAGGCAUCGGUUCAAUUUAAAAAAGUGCGACAUGUCCAAAAGCAAGUUUGAAGACAGAGAGAAAGAAAGGCAACCAACUGGAGUCACUGCUGCUUGUGCAACUACAAAUGUGUUGUCUUAAUGAGAAGUACAUGUGAUUUAUGUCUCCUUUGUAUGUAUGAAAUAUGUAAUAAAAUUAAGGUUGUUUAGUGGUUGUGAAAGCUGUAAAACCACCCGAAUCUGCCAAAAAACUACCAGUGAAUGGUGUGGUCAUUCUGGGGCGUGGCGUAUCUCGACACAUGCCUCAGAACCAGCAGCACAUACCUCGUCUGCUCUACAGCACACCUUAGGCCACUCUUCAGCCUGCUGCUGCUGCUCUUAAAGUAGCUGAGUGCUCAUAAACCUGCCUUCCCAUUAUAGAUAACUCAGGAUUUCUUUUUACAACAUACAGCUGGCUUUUUCAUACAUGUCACAUACUCUACCACUCAUCAGGGGUGUCCGAGUGGGGAAAAGUGGGACUGACUACCUCAGCCCCUGGUGGGGAAAAGAGGCCUCCGAUUAGUCUCAAGUGUACACUCAGUUUUCUUAGCCUUUUUUCUCUCUGAGCUAAGGAGCUGAACUGAAACUGUGUGGUUAAAUCAACAAAUACUCAAAAUGUCUUUUUGGAAAUGAUUGAGCCCAUUGACAGGAUCGACCUGACCGCAGUCUGUAGAGUUACCUGAAGGAUGCUGAAGGUAGAACCAUUUCUCCCAAAAGAAGGAGAAAUCAGGGUUUUCAAAAAAUUAAAAAAAGAAGAAGUCUGAGAGAAAACAACAUUAGAAAAAUUUGUUUCAAACUGAAGGUUGGCGGGUCAUUUAAGAUAACACUGGAAAUGUACAUUUCAUAGAGUCAGCUGGGGCUCCAGUCACUCUGGUUAUACUGAGGCUAAUUUUCAUUCAUAAAUAUGCUCAUAAAUGUCUACCUCUGAUAUGUUACAAUAACUAGCACAUUUCCAGGAGAUCUAAGAUAACAUAUUACAUAUCAAUAUAUUCAUUACAAUAAAUGAAAUAAAAAUAAACCCGAAAUAAUCUGGCUGCAGACCUCCACGAUCCAAAGUCAUGGAGGUCUGCAUCCAAAGGGGAAACCAAAGUCUUUGGGCUCCAGGGGCAAAGCUGAAACUCAAAGGAACUGAAGGAAGGGUACCACCAGGAGUUGAGCCUGCAGCUUAAUUUGACUCAACAUGGGAAACCUUACCCAGCCCGAACACGGAAAGGAUUGACAGAUUGAUAGCUCUUUCUUGAUUCUGUGGGUAGUGUUGCAUGGCUGUUCUUAGUUGGCGGAGGGAUUUGUCUGGUUAAUUCCGAUAACGAUUCAGACUCCAGCAAGCUAACUUGUUACGCGGCCCACCUCCACUGAGCAGAUCGGAAG